GUCACGUCAGGUGCCACACCACGCUAGGCCUGCCUCUGUCCUAGCUACGCAUCUAGCAACGCAAGUAUCUAUCUAUGCCACCUGUGCGGCGGUGGCUGCGUCCGCGUACUGCGCCGCCGCCUUUGCUGACGUGUCGGCCCACAGGAAGCGGGGGUCGUUACCCAUCAGCUGCGCCAGCUUCUCGUUGAAGGGGCGGUAGAAAUCCUGUGGGAGGGAGGGGGGGAAGGAGGGAGGGUGGGGUGAGGACAUGUCGGCCGUGCAUGGGAGGUUGUGCUGGGAUGCGGUGCACGUGCACACACCAGGAGUUGCAGGUAGUCGCACACCAACGCCGGGCAGCUCCCUUCCGCUUUCUCUCUCUCCCUCAGCCCCUCUCUUCCUCCCUCUCUCCCUCCCUCUCUUCCUCCCUCUCUUCCUCCCUCUCUUCCUCCCUCUCUUCCUCCCUCCCUCCCUCCCUCCCUCCCUCCCUCCCUCCCUCCCUCCCUCCCUCCCUCCCUCCCUCCCUCCCUCCCUCCCUCCCUCCCUCCCGCUGCCUCCCACCUCUAGCAGCUUGCGGCUGCGCGGCCACAUGCGCGGGUACUUCUCGCUCUGCGCAUUGAAGCGGCGCAGCUUCAUCAGGCCGUCGGUCUCGGUGUCGGACAGGUCGCGCAUGCCCAGGAACCUCAUCACCGCCUGCAGGUGCUCCUGUGUUUGUGGGGAGGGGGACAGGGAGGAGGUGAGGGAGGGGUGGGGUGGGCUUGAUGUGCCUCUAAAGAGCACAAGGGAUGGAACUACACAUAACUGUGUACGUGCGUGUAUGGGGUGUGUAUGUGUGUGUUUGUGUUUGUGUUUGUGUGUGUUUGUGUGUGUUUGUGUGUGUUUGUGUGUGUGUGUGUGUGUGUGUGUGUGUGUGUGUGUGUGUGUGUGUUUGCCAUCGUGCUGGAAACAAGCCUUGAGGUGGUUGGUUUGCAUGACACGGUUGCUGGUCAUUCAGGUGUCAGGUGACGCCGACCCACCCCUGCAGCUCCCUCCAGCUUCCUCCAGCUCCCCCUCACCCGCCGCCCCUCCCUCGCCGCCUCCUCACCCGUGGCGCUGCCUUGUAGUCCUCCGUCCUCAGGAACAGCAGCUGCUCGCGCGGGAACACCGCCGCCCAGGCCUCCACGAACUCCGCGUACAUGCCCUUCACCAGCUGCUGCGGCUCGUAGCGCUGCGGGGCGGGGCAAGUGGGGCACGGGGGCAGUAGCGGGAAUGUUUGGGGGCGUGUGCGAGGCAAGCACGCGAGGAGAAAGACAAAGAGUUCACAGGGCUUGUGUGUGUGCGCGCGAAUGUCGUGCGAUGGUGUGGGCACACGGUAGCUGGCAUGUGUAUGUUGCGGAUGUUAUCAACGGCGGCAGCAAGCAGUCAUCGGCCCAGAGCACGGACACACACACACACACGUACACACGCGUACCUUGACGCAUUCUUGCUGGCUGUGGCGAGACACACAGGCAUUCCAGUUCUGUGGGGUGAGAGGGAGGGGAGGUCUUGGUUGGGGGUGGUGAGGCAGGCACGAGGAACCGCAUGAGCGUGCCUGGGACACGCGAUACCCGGGCCGCCGGGCGCUCCCUCCGCUUGGGCUGCGUCCUUGCAACUGUUGUGUCCUAAACUAUGAAGCCAUCCCAACCCCCCUCCUCGCUCUAUUGCAUUGGGUUUGGUUUAGUUUGGGCUGGUAUUCACAACCCCCCCCCUUCCUCGCGCGCCCCUGCCCCCCCUCGCGCGCACCUUGAUGUCCCGCUCCACGCGCUCGUGGAACUUGUCCGGGCCCUCGAAGGGCUCACUGGGCUUCCGGCUGCGCAUGUACACACACACACGUUGGCAGGUGGGCGGUUCAGUUGGGCGUGCGUGUGUGUUUGUGUUGGGAGGAGGCAUCACGGCAUGUAGGUGACAUGCGGCACAGCUACCCCCACCCCCACCCCGUGCCCGCACCCCUUCCUCGGUCUCGCCCCAUCACGGGCACGCAGUGCCACGCACCGGUAGUAGUGGAAGGCGGAGUAGUAUCUGGACACGGGGUCGCGCAUGAUGAUGAUCUGUAUGUGUGUGUGUGAGUGUGUGAGAGAGAGAGAGAGAGAGAGAGAGAGAGAGAGAGAGAGAGAGAGAGAGAGAGAGAGAGAGAGAGAGAGAGAGAGAGAGAGAGAGAGAGAGAGAGAGAGAGAGAGAGAGAGAGAGAGAGAGAGAGAGAGAGAGAGAGAGAGAGAGAGAGAGAGAGAGAGAGAGAGAGAGAGAGAGAGAGAGAGAGAGAGAGAGAUAGGGCUUGGUUCCACGGAGUUGGUGGAGUUCUGAGCCCGUGAGUGCAUUGCGACCAAAUGUGAGCGCCACAGGGGGGACGCGCAGUGGGACGUGUUCAAGGGCCGAUACCUCUCCUCAUGCGCCCGUCCCGCCUGCCUAGCGCCCCCACGCACCCAUCUACACCCCCACGCCCCCACACACCCCCCGCCCCCACCCCCACGCCCCUGCCCCCCCAUGGCCCCCACCUGGCGCUGGUAGGGCUGUGCGGCGUGGAUGAGCUGAGCCAGUGUGACGUUGGUCUUGAGGCGGGCCAGGCCCCUGGGGGCGGUGGGGAGAUGAGGAGGGGAGGGGGGGUGAGAGGGGCCGCGGCGGGCAGGGGGCAGGGGGUGCGAGGUUGGGGAACCGGGAGGGGGCCGGGGAAGAACCAGGCAGGCAGCGCGCAAGGAGGGUGGAGGGACACCGGGGGUGGAAGAGGACAGCGGUGGACAUGGCGGAUGCUUUGGCGCCCAGCCCAGUGACCGCGGCCGUAUGUUGUCACGCCGGCAUGUGUUGCUUCUGCCUACUCCCGCACCCGCUGCCCGUCCCCUGUGCAUUCUGGGUGGCCUGUUAUCCCUAGCCCUCGCGGGACUGGUGGAAGCAAACGCCCCGCGCUCGCGAUCCCGCGUCCUCACCGCACGAAGGUGUACACGCCGGUGUAGGUGUUGGAGGAGGCCUCACCCACAAUCGCCUGAGCGGGCAGCGCGGGGCGUGUGGUGGCGCGGCGCGUGUCAGCUCGUGUAUGUACAACCCCCCAACACCACUGUGCGUCAGCUCCGAUGCCCAACGUUGCCCCUGUUUGCUUGCGCAUUCACCGACCCUCCACAGCUCCACUCCUGCCCUCUCCAUGUCUCCUUACGAUGCAUUCAAUCCAGUCCUUGAUCCGUUAAAAAGGUUCUCCCAUCCCAAACCUUAUAGCCUAUCGGUCUCCGGCCCCACCAGCGGGUUGGCCUUGAUCUGGCUGGCGCCUUUCUCAAACAGGUUGACGUAGCCGUCAAAGUCGCCGUUGGGCGGCGCGGUGCAGGCGCCCUUGGGCGGGUAGGGGCACUCGUCCCAAAAGUGCGGGCCCUGUGGGGGGAGAGGUGAGGCGGGGGUGGGGGAGAGGUGGGGGAGAGGUGAGGGAGGUUGGGGAGCAGCACGCAGAACAAACACUGUUCAAUCCUGUUCCUUCAUGCUUGACUUUCACACGCACAUCGUAGACACACACGUACACACAUACACGCAUAGUCAUACAGGCACACGCACCUUGGCCCCAUCCGCCAGGUCGGGGUGUCGCCGCAGCCUGCCGUACAGGUCGGUGGUGCCGCACUUGGACACGCCGAUGAUCUGUGUGUGUGUGUGUGUGUGUGUGUGUGGUGGGACAGCGCAAAAGGGGAAGUCUGUUAACAGAGGCAGAGGAAGGGGCCCUGUAAGCGCACGUGCGUGUUGGGAUGCAAGGAAAUGGCAGCAAUGGCAUGUGUAUGUGCGGCAUAAGGCACCAGUACCGUUCGCUUCGAUGAGAAGCGCCAGAAUGUCAAAACUUUGUGCGCGCGGUCCCAUUAGGGCCGCCACCGCCCUCAUAGAAAGUCACACGCACACACGCACGCACACACACACACACACACACACACACACACACACACACCCCUCUCAGGCCACACGCGCCUCGCCUACCUGGAAGUAGGGCAUGCAGCGGAAUCGGCCCGACUCAUCCGUCCAGCAGGGGUUGCGGUAGGCCUUGUCCAGGGCCUGAGCGGGAGCAGGGGCGAGGAGCCAGGAGCGAGGAGUGCGGAGUGCGGAGUCAGGAGUGCGGAGUGUCGAGUGAGGUGGGGUUGAGGUGGGAGCGCGGUGGGAGGAGGGGGGAGCACGGGGGCGAGGGUGCAGCAGGGCGGUGGCGGCGUAAAAGGCAAUCAGGUGCAGACAGAAAGGGAGACCAAGUAGUGGAGAGCACGAGUAGAACAAGACCUGCGCUUAUGUUUGCCUUCUGGCCCUCUAGUAGCCUCAGUCUCCCCCUUCCACCACAGCCACCACAGCCCCCCACCCACCCACCCACCCCCGAGCCCGGGCGGCGACACAUAUCGCCGGCGCCGCUCGCCCUGCUGCUCCACGACGCCUCGGCCCACAUCCCAUCAGUACUGUUGCUUGCAACUAACGCCUCUGCCUGUACUCCGCUCGUUUUCGUUGGUUUUGGUUUAGUUUGGGCUGGUAUUUACACCCCCGCCCCACACACACACACGCCCACACACACACACACACACACACACACACACACACGCCCACACACGCCCACACACCUUGGGCAGCACCUCCCAGGUGUCCGGCGCGGCCCUGACCACCUCGUCGUGGUUGGCGGGGGGCGUGUAGGCCGCCCACACGUCAGCCACGUGGUAGCUGGGGGCGGUCACCUGGACAGAGGGGUGGGGCGGCGGUGGGGCGAUGGGGUGGGAGGCGCGAUGGGGUGGGAGGGGGUGGGGGUGGGUUUGCAGAGGCGGGAGACAUAGGGAUCCCGGGGGCCGGGAAGGAGGUGCACGGACCCGUCCCGUCGUAAGAGCCAAUGGAAUAGAGGCUCCAGUACCCUCUUUUCACGGGACACGCAGCCUUGUUCGACCAAACAGGCACCUCCGCACUUGAAAUAGCUCGUUGCCAAGCCCCUCCCCCCUCCCGCCCCGCCCCGCGCUCGCCCCUGCCACGGCCUCCGCUGGUCCCGGCUCCCCACCUUGGCUAGAUAGGAGACCGGGUCCACCACCGCCGCAGUCGCCGCCACAGCGCCACGGAGUGAUACUGCCGCCGCUGCUACUGCCAGCAACAGCAAGGGCAUGGACGUGCCUCUCCCCCGCGUGGGCGCUCGUCUGUGGGCACGGGUGGGAAUGGAAAAGGGAAGGCACGGGUCACGUCAGCGCAGCGAGGGGUAACUUUAGUGUCUAAGUCGGCGCUUAGUAAGCAACGAUGCACCGUGAAGGCACGUGCACAUGACUUGCGUGUCAGGCGCCCGCUGAGGAGCACUGUCUGGCGACGCGUUGCGGCGGUCUGGCAGAUGACACGACGUGGGGCCAUCUGCGCAUGUUAGUGUGGCCAGGCACGGCGUGCCCCUGCCUCGACUCCCGCCCAUGACAGUAUACACCCGCUCAUACGUGCCGAGGCGCAUCAUGGAUACUCACCUCCCAUGUGAAAGCAUGGCUCCGGUCGAACUUCUGCGGCGACUCAGGCCGACUCCAGUCGAUUCCGUGUCGCUCUCCCGCGACGCCGUGACGCAACGGUACCCUAGGCGCCGCGUAUGUUUGGGGUAAUUCAGAUAUCUAGAAACAAGCGUGAUAGGGUAGACUCGUGUCAGCAGCGGCAGUAGUUAUGGCCUGGUGCAACAGCCGGGCAGCCGCGAGGGUGUGCGGUCAAUCAAGAAAGAACAGUAUUGUAAUCUAAACCGAAGUGUAAGGUUCGCAGCACAACUCAGCCAUUCAUGACAGAAUUGGACAGACGCGCCCAUGCAAGCUUCGCAAGCUGGUCGUGUCAACAGGUCUCAAAGGACCGUGCAAUCUUUCACAUAAGCAAAUACUUGCACAGAAGCCAAGCACUGUACGUUUCUUGACGUUGAAGCAAAGCAAGCACGGGCAAGAUGCCCAAGCUUUCGCCUGAGGCGCGGGGCACGCUCACUGCUGUGGGCGUGCUUACGCUUGCAUACGUAGCUGUGCACUGGUAUUACUUCUUGUACAUGUUCCCUCGCCACAUGGUUGCCAUCUUGGACCCCCGAGAUAAGACUUUAAUGCCCAAAUCGCAGUGGGGUUUCGUUGGUGAGUAAUGGAGCGCUUGGUGGAGAAAUUGUGGUGCUCCGUUGACCUGUGGGAGCAAGCAAUCCAACUGCACACGGUGUCCAUGGACCGCGGCCACAUCCCACUGGACCCGCUUGAUUGCGUUUCCCCAUCUGACAACUUAUCUUCCACAACUCCAACCACACCGUACAUGGCACCGGGCAUGCCCGUACCCCACGGCUGCGCUCCUGCACCCGCAGGCCUUACGUGCCAAAGCCCCCCUUUCGCCCCCCCACCACCACCACCUGUCCCGGCUACCUCCCUUCCCGCAGUGCGCCUGCUACUGGCCUGGCUGGCCUACAAGCUGUAUCUGCGCCUGCGCGCCGCCGCCAAGCGCCGGGACGACGCCCGCGUGCAGCGGCGGCUGGCGGCGGCGGCGGCGGCGGGCAGCGCGGAGGCGGCGGCGACGCUGGCGGCGCGACAGCAGGAGCUGGCGGCGGCGGGUGAGGGCGGGGGGACUGAUGGAUGGCGGCGCGUGGGGCUGGGGGGGGGGGGCUCACAGGGUCGGGACGGGAUCGAGGAGCUGGAAGAUUCAAAGAGCUGGGGGCGCUAGGGGAGGUUUGCGGAGGACCCGCGCUGCCCCGAUCGAGUGGUCCCAUGGGGUGAGGGGCCGGAGUCGCACGCGCGGCUAGACCUCAGCAGAGUAUCGGACCUUGAAACGGUUUCGCUAGUAAGAGUAUGAAACAAAACACCGAUGGAGGAACGCCUAGACAACGCCAGCAGCAAAAAGCGCAAGUUCUGCGGCAGCAGCUAUCCAGAACGCGACAUCCACGACCCCGGCGGCAACGGCCAUUUAAAGCGGCGCGGCCGGGACCGCAGGUUCCCGGGUAUGGGCCGCUCCCUGCGCGCCGCCUGGCGGCCGGAUGUGGGCUGGGCGGCGGCGGUGGCGGCGAAGCAGCAGAGCCUGGCGGAGGCGGGUGCGCAGGCGGAAGGCGGCAGGCGGGAGGGGACCGCGAGGGGACAGGCGCCCGCGUGCUGGCCGGUCCGGGGCUUCGGUGGCCCCCCCGGGCGGUUGUAAUUUGCUGCUGGGGGGCUAGGGGACCUGGGGACGGCCUCGGUGUCACGUGUAUGCACCCUCCCCCUUCACUGGGCUCUGGCAUUACUGCCACUGUCCCGACUUUCAUGGACGGCUACCGCCCCCCUCCCACUCCCCCGGCACCCCCUGAACCUCGGUUUGCCCCCCCCCACCACCACCACCCCGCCCGCUGCAGCUGCUGCACAGGGCGAGGCCGCACGGCUGCAGGCUGCGGCCGCGGCACGAGAGGUGAGUGGAUUUGGGGAUUUGGGUGUGGGUGCAGCAGCCAGGCUGACUGCCGCUGCCGGCGGGCGCCCGGGCGCAAGGCGUUGUCAGGCUGGGCAGGGCAGCGCUCUCCGACUUGACUGGAGGCCGCGCGCGGACCCCGCUGCCAUCCUGGCAAGACAUGCUUGGACACAUUUCUUGCGACUCAGCUGGGCUACCCGCCGUGUCACAUAUACACAUGUAUGGUAACCAUACAAACACUCGCAGGCGGAGGCAGCUCGUGCGGCGCGUGCGGAGACGUCCGCUGCCAACUCCGCGGCACGCACCGUCGCCGGGGUGAGCCGCACGUGGUGGGGCGCCGCGAGGGGGUUUGGGCGUGGCCGUGCCAGUGGCUGGCGUGUCGUGUGUCGGGCGAGGCGCCAGGCCGCCUGGGGGACCCCCAGCCGGCAGCCGCAGGGCUCCCACCUCCUCCCUGGUGUACAGAGCUCGCCCGGCUGCUGCAUACUGCGACUGCUGCUGCGACUGUGGCCUUGUGGUUGUUGGUUGGGUGUAAAGGGAAAAACAAAAAAAGGAGACAUGCGUCAGGAAAGCACAAAGGGGAAGAGACGUGUGUGUGUGGGUGUGUGUGCGUGCGCAGGCGAGCAAGCAGGUGACGACCAGCAGCGCGGCGGCGGCGCUCGCGGCGGCGUCCGCGGCGGACGCAGCGGCGGCGGGCGCCGCCAAGGCGGCGGCGCGCGGCGCGGCUGACGAUGGCGCCGCGGCGCGCGAGGCGCAGCAGCGGGCCUGGCUGGCACGUCUGCAGGCGCAGCAGGACCAGGCGGCGGCGGCCAAGGCCGCGGCCGAGGUGGCGGCGCGGGCGGCGGCGGCGGCGAAGGCGGCCGGCGGCGAGGUGGCGGCGGCAGCGGCGGCGCCGAUGGCGGCGGAGCCGACGACGGCUGCGGCUGCGGCGGCUCGGGCGGCGGCUGGUGGUGGGGGAUCAGCGGCGGCGGGGCCUUCGUCCGGCUCGGCAGCUGCAGGGGCAGGGGCAGUUGGUGGCGGUGGUGGUGGCGUGCGGCCCUCCUCGUCAGCGAGCAACCACAUGACCUCUCUGGAGGAGGCGCGGGAGGCGGAGGAGCGCCAACGUGUGUGGCUGCAGCAGCUGUCGGUGGGUGGCGUGUGUGCGUGUGCGUGUGUGUGUGUGUGUGUGUCGUGCGGGGGUGGGGUGUGGGGGGCUACAUUCGUGAUCAUUCAAGAAGUGAAGGCGUAGCCAGGGGAGGGGGUAGCGCAGGCGUGGCGGGAGGACGGAGGGUGGAGGCGGCAGGAGGGAGGGGGUGGAAGAGGGUUAAAUAGCUUGCGGCGGGAGCGCGCAAGCGGAUCGUGUUGUGUGUGCGGUCCCACAGGUGCGGACGUGGCACUGCCGAUCCACGCCAGCCGCUAAGGCCGCGGGCUGAGGACUUGUUGUCACACCGUCACUUUAUCGGCAUCGCCUCCCCCCCCCCGCCGGUAUCACCACCACCCACCCAUCCAUCACGACCUCCGCCUGCCCCCUGCCCUCACUUCCCCCCCGCCCGCAGGAGAACCCCUCCCUGACGCCGCUGCAACGGGAGGCGCGGGAGGCGGAGCGCGCACUCAAGGCCGAGCAGGUGCGCGCCGCCGCCUGUAGCAACAGGCAUCUUUGCGCGGGAGGGAUAGCUGGGGGCCCGGGAUUGCGAGCGGGCAAGGGCCGCGGGCGGCACACGGCCGGGAUUGGGCGCCGCAUGUGUUGUGUGCGUGGUGGCCGGCGCCGCAGGCGGGACAUGCAGCAUCUCCAUGUUUGAAACCUACGCACUUUUCACGCAAAGGGAUCCUACAAAUACCGGAACACGGGAUGUACGGGUGUGAUUAUGAUGGCUGCAGGACGCCGCGUAUGAGGCGGCGCUGGCGGAGGACCGGCGGCGCGCGGAGGAGCGUGCGGCGGCACGUGCGGCGGAGGAGGCGGCGGCCGCAGCGGCGGCGGCGGUCGAGGCGGCGGCGGCGGAGGCGGCGGCGGAAGAGCGGCGGAAGCUGCAGGAGCUGAGAGAGAGGCUUCGGGCUGAGCUGCCGGUGGGUGGGGCGAUGUCCGUGUGCCGUACAAACACACAUGUGUGCCGUACUCGGAUCUGUAUGGGUAUUGUUGGCAACGUUUAAUUUCAUCCGGGCGGCUACGCGCGGUGGCCGCCUGCCUGUGUCACGUUGAUGUCAUACAUGUAACCGACCGUCGCACCCAUACGGUACACGACAGCGCUGGCGGCGCCCAGCCACGGAGGUGCUUGCGGCGGCCCCCGCCGUGCCACCCUCUGUGUGACCCUACCUGCUGCCGGUGCUGCCCUGCCUCCUCCCCUCUUCCCACACCCCGCCUGCCCGCCUGCUACACCGCCACCACCCCGGCACCCACACAGGCGGAGCCCGGGGCCGAGUCCGAGGGGGCGGUGCUGGUGCGGGUGCGGCUGCCGGACGGCUGCUCGCACACACGCCGCUUCGCGCCCGCCGCGCCGGUGCAGCAGGUGGGUGCCGUGGGUGCUGCCGGUGCCGCCGGUGCUGGGCUGAGGCCGAGGUGGCGGGUGCUGCAGGCAGCGGGGCUGCUGCAGCAGAGACGCAGGACUCCGGACUAGGGGCUUCCAGGGAGGUGUGGUGUGGUGUGGUGUGGUGUGGUGUGGUACGGCUCCAGUCGUGUACAGUGUGCAGUAGGUGCAUACACAGGCGCAGCACGCGACAGCACACAGCGAUCAGACCACGCGCCCACCCCACAUCUUUUGUCACCGGGGCUGCUGCUGCUGCCGCUGUCGCUGCCGCCGCUCCUGCAAUAAUCGUGUGCAGGUGCGCGACUGGCUGCAGUCCCUGGACAGCUUCCCGCUGUGGCAGCCCGCGGCCUGGAGCCUGGUGUGCAGCUACCCGCGGCAGGUGCGUGCGUGUGUGUGUUAGAAAAACAACAAAACGAAGCCCGCCCAAGCGGCGCCGGAGUUACUUACGGAUACCAACCGAAUACCGAGCGUCGUGUUGCCGCGCCGACCCCGGUAGUCAUACUUACCCGCGAAAAGCCUGUAACCCUCUCGGGCGAUCGACGAACGAUCUGACCCCGAGUGGCACCAAUAUGCAUUGUAUGCGCCGCGCCUUGGGCGCGCUACAACGUUUACCCAGCACGCCUAAGUCCCAUAUUCCCGCCCGCUGGUCAUAGUCGAGCUCACCUACGGGCGACAGAGGAAGCGAGGGUGUGUGUGUGUGUGUGUGUGUGUGUGUGUGUGUGUGUGUGUGUGUGUGUGUGUGUGUGUGUGUGUGUGUGUGUGUGUGUGUGUGUGUGUGUGUGUGUGUGUGUGUGUGUGUGUGUGUGUGUGUGUGUGUGUGUGUGUGUGUGUGUGUGUGUGUGUGUGUGUGUGUGUGUGUGUGUGUGUGUGUGUGUGUGUGUGUGUGUGUGUGUGUGUGUGUGUGUGUGUGUGUGUGUGUGUGUGUGUGUGUGUGUGUGUGUGUGUGUGUGUGUGUGUGUGUGUGUGUGUGUGUGUGUGUGUGUGUGUGUGUGUGUGUGUGUGUGUGUGUGUGUGUGUGUGUGUGUGUGUGUGUGUGUGUGUGUGUGUGUGUGUGUGUGUGUGUGUGUGUGUGUGUGUGUGUGUGUGUGUGUGUGUGUGUGUGUGUGUGUGUGUGUGUGUGUGUGUGUGUGUGUGUGUGUGUGUGUGUGUGUGUGUGUGUGUGUGUGUGUGUUUAUGUGUGUGUGUGUGUGUGUGUGUGUGUGUGUGUGUGUGUGUGUGUGUGUGUGUGUGUUUAUGUGUGUGUGUGUGUGUGUGUGUGUGUGUUUAUGUGUGUGUGUGUGUGUGUGUGUGUGUGUGUGUGUGUGUGUGUGUGUGUGUGCAAGGACAGCGCGGCGCAAGGCGAGGGUGCCGGGAGCGCCAGGGCGGGGCGGGGCGUGGGCAAUGUAAGGCAUGCGUAAACGAGUUUUGUUUGCGCAUUUCGACCCUUUCCCCCUUGUGCGCCCCCAACACCCCACACGCCGCGCCCCCCCUGCCGUCUACCACCUCCUUACAACUUAUCAUGAAUGUAACCUCCCCCGCCCCCCUUUGUACCUGGCUACGACUUCACUUCGUAAACUUAAUGCGUGUACCCCCCCCCCAGGUGCUGCAGCACGCGGGCGGGCUGCGUGUGUCGGACGUGGCGGCGGAGUCGCGGCAGGUGGCCCUGUUCGUGCAGCACAACAGCAGCAGCGGCAGCGGCAGCGGCAGCGGCGACAGUGGUACGGCGGUGGCGGAGUCGUGAUGAGGGACGCCUAGAGACACUGAGUCGCCUGGUAUGGCGUGGAUGCAACAGCGGCGGCGGCGGCGGCGGCGGGCGGCGGUGGCAUUAGCGGUACCACCAGUGAUGCGGCGGCCUAGUAGUGAGGGGCUGUGUGGGAGCCGGGGCACUGAGGCGGCUGGUAGGCCUUGGCAUUGGUCUUGGCACUGGUCUUGGCACUGGUCGUCUUGGCACUGGCAUUGGCAUUGGCAUUGGCGAUGUUGCUGGUGGUGAUCAGUGUGUUGGUGGUUGAGUAAGUGGCAGCAGUGCGGCGGCGCAACCAGUUGGGUGGGCGCAUGCAAGGGCAGGAACAGAGGAGGCGGCAGCAGGUGGAUGCGGAGGGGCUGAGGCGGGCGUCAAACAAUCAAAGCAGUGCGAGCAGUGCCCCACACAGGCCACAAGCGGGGCGCCGCGUGUGAACGAAACCCCUUGCAAGCACCUCGCCUGGCUCGGCCCGGUAGGGCAUCCAGGUGUCCAGGGUCACAGUACGCACGCCUGGGUCUUCUUGAGCUGCUGGAGCGAGGAGCUGGCUGGAAGGUGCCUGUGGGCUGCCGUGCGUGUGCGCUGCGUCCGACGCAUAUGCAGCAGCAGCUCAGGCGCAUGUGCCGGCGCAUUGUAACUGGGCUGCCGACCUGCCGUGUGCGCGGCGUCGAUCACAAUCGAUAUUACGACAAAUCGCAUCACGACAUACGUGCACGCAGCGUUGACAGUUGGUGUCGGCGUUUGUCACGCCCAUCUGCCGGCUUAGAGCUAGCUCGCCACCUGUUCCUCCGUUGCUGUCCGCUGAUACUAGGUCGCGUAACGUGUGGCGCUCCCGCUGAUUGGCUGUUGCUGACGCCUGCAAGCAGCUGAGCAGAGAGGCCCAAGAUACGCAGCACAAGUGUGGAGGGGGCCUCGCAUCGGACCGAUGGGGCUGCCGUCGCAGUCCUUCCCUGUAGGGGCUAUUUUUGGGCUAAGCCCCCCGAGCGGAGGACGGCGACUGCGGCGAACGCGGGCGGCUGGCACAGGGCGUGGUCGGGGCAGCACCAAGGUUGGCGGGGCGGGGGUGGCCGGGGCAGCGGCGGGUCCAGGCAUUCGCAGUGGUAGUCACCGGUGCAGCCGGGGGAGUCACAGAGCAGCAUGGUGUCUUCGGGCUGCGGCUGCUGGCAGACGGUACACGGGAGGUCGGCGGCGGGGGCGGGCGGGGGCGGCGGCGGGGUGGCGGUGGGGAUACCAGCGAGGGCGUCGACGGUGGGAAGAUGCUCGCGCUCCAUCAGGGGAAUCACAACCGGGCGGGAGAGCUCGGAGUGCCAUAUAUUCUGCCUUGCGUGUGCAUGAAGCUCACAACAAUGCUAACAGGAGAGACGAGGAGCCCUUGCGGCUCGGUUAGUCUCGUUACAGGUUCAGGAAUGCACACUUCCAACCCUGUAACACAUCAUCAUAUGGCACGGUGGAACAGCGAAGUGGACGCCCCGGUCUCCCGCUCAGGGGUACACAUCUCUAGACCUGCUGUUUGUUGGCUUGCACUACUUGCUUUGCCAGGUGUGAUGGUCAGGGGAGUGACCCAUGAACCGAGAAGGGACCAGCUGUAUUACUCAACUCAACUUCAGCCCCCCGCGUGUCUCAUGUGUCGCACAACACAAUGCCACACACUAAAUGCCCGCUGGCAUGACAUGGCGCCAUGCUGGGGUUGCGCCAAGGUCACACCGCUCACCACACACACACAACAAGCUCAAACCCAAACACACCGACAUGCACGUGCCAGUGCUGAUAUCAGAGGCCCAUCAGGAUUUGCAGCAACCCCAGGGUUUGGUGGCGCACAGUUGGUCCCCUGGCAGCUUCAGAUGGUCCUUUCGGGACUGUCCCCUCUUGCAAGCCCGCAUUUAUACCUCACCGCCGGCCGCCAUCCAGUCUCGUAGCCCACAUGCACAAACGCCGCUUUGCUGUAAUCCCGCUCAUCGAUGCGUUCCAUCCAUCCGUCCCCAGCCAGCCCCGCCCUGCCGCCCCGCAGUCCGCCAGGCCGUUUCUUCACCACACCGCCCCUUUGCGCUCAUAAGCCCGCAGCCCUACGCCUGCAGGCCCUCAGCAGGGAGCUGCCAUUUCACACUAUUCAAGCCAUUCACUUCGUUCGCUUCUUGUGACCCGCAAUCUGGAGGUCUCACAUUGAUUUCAGCGCCAGAAACCCCAAACUCCCAAACUGACUGCCGCAGUUACCGGUGCUGCGUGGCGAAAUGCUCGCCUACCCAGUCGGCAUUUUCAUAUGAUUGCGGUACUACAGAGGGGUCAUAUGGUAUGCAGCCGGCACAAAGCCCACACCAUGCGUCAUCAUGAGUACAAACAGCAAACCCACAGCUCUCUCUCUCAGCCUCUGAAACAUAAACAAGUGUGGAAAAAAGGAACUACUGUACAGCCAUGCCCCGCCCAUCUAAAGCAAUGGUGGCGAGCCAGUCAAUUGCGAAAUACCCCGUGGAGUAGAGACAGCGGGCAGCGCUUGCUCUACCGACCUGUGUCUGCAUCGUACAUACAGCUCGAACGGGUUGACGAUUGCAGCCAGCACCCGCUCCUACAUCCGCACCAUUCAUUUGGCUCGUUAUCAUUAAUUAUUAUAUGCUUCUGCAUCAGCUGCUGCGACUCAAGGCGGCGCUGUCUGCAAGCCAACGUCCGCCCGCGCCAGAGCGGCGCCGUCUCCCCGAACUGCCGAUGGACGUGCAUGCUACUCAACUUGCCGUCCGCUACAGCCCGCCGCGUGACAUAUCACCGCCUGUCUGGGCAUCGGGGGGAAGGGGUUGUAAACACCAGCGCAAACUAAACCGAACCCAAUGCAAAAGAGCGAGGAGGAGAGCGUGGCCUAUGCGUUGACAAAGGAGUGUGGCACUCGACUAACAUACCUUACAACGACAGCGCGCCCCAGUGCAUCUCUGCAGUAAGACCACUUAUGCACAUAGCCCUACCGGCUGCGUAGGCUGCCGCCUGGAGAGUACACGUUCACUCCGCCUUGAAACCUGUGUCGGGUUUCGGCGCAGGUGCAGGUGCCAUCAAACAAACUCUUCCGAAAUCCGUGGGUUGGCGGCGCUACUCAUAUCUUCUAUUCAAUACCAUCCCAAUGCCCUCCAGGGGCCCCCCUAGCUGCCAUCGGACGCCGUGCGUAUUGAUCAGACCCGCUCCCAGGUGACCGGCGUCCAACGCCCCCAGCGUCUCUGCCCCCUACCCCUAGCUAUGCUCAGCUGGCUCGCUCCAGAGCUGUGCAUAGCCCGUCUCAUCCCCAGCAAGCGUGAUACGCUAACGUUUCAGGUACGAGUGGGACAGGGGAGCCGCGUGAAUCUCGUCGCUCAAACGGACUCAAGCACGCCGUAGCACGCCGAGCAGCGCCGCUUGAACGAUGUGAACCAGGUGGAGCAGCGCCGCUUGAACGAUGUGAACCAGGCGGAGCAGCGCCGCGCGAACGAUGUGAACCAGGCGGAUCUCGUCGCUCAAACGGACUCAUCACGCGCCGGAGCAGUCAUCGCGCGGCGCCACUCCUGGUAAUCUGAGUGAAAUGCUGCGUCGAAGAGCGCGCGCGGUAUACAUGAGCAGCGGCUCUUCCCGCCAGAGCCCCACCGCUGUGCCUCAACGGUACUAGCCUAGGCACCGGAGUGCCGGGAAUCGUCCAGGCCGCAGCACACACGCACAGCGCACGCACUAACCAGGGCGCAAGCGUCCAGGCACUAGCACGGUCGGCCACACGUGCGUCCUGCCCACACACAAAUAAAGCCACCACCCACCCACAACCUCUCAACUACAAGGCCGAGAAGCUCAUGUCAAGACAGGUUUGCUUGAGCUUUCGGGGCGCGCUAAGACUAGGCCACGCACGCACGCACGCACGCACGCACGCACGCAGCCACGGACGGGGGUGGUCCUGGGGGGCUUCGCCCCCCCCUGGAACGCUGCGCUGGGGGGCUCAGCCCAAAAACACGCAUAAAGUAAGAUCACACUUAAAAGAUGGACACACUCACAACCCGACCGCCAGUGGUGCGCACAAAGGCACUCCGCGCCAUCAUGGAUGCAAAGAUCACAAUUGCCACACGGAAUCACCCCCAACUUCUGCUCCCGCUGCAUCGAACGCAACCACUUCAGGCGCGCCGAAUCAGCCUGCGUGACAUACUCCCAAGGCAACUUGGCAGCUAUACACACACUCCGGGGACACAUCUAGUAAAGCAACACCAUUCAACACACCAUCAGACUUAGCCUUCUCAAAGCCCUUUUCCUCAACACAUCGCACAUCCUCCUUGGCUCCUUCUUCAUGCUAAACCUCACCCGACAACCGUUGCUACGAAGCACUUCCACCACCUCAUCACUGCACUUCCACGGCACAAACACGCUUCCGCACAGAUCCAGCGGAAUGACCUCGCACAAUUGCUCCACCUCAGACGCCGUCAUACAUGGGCUGAGCACGCACCCGUCCAGUGCGCGCCGCACAGGCUAGCCGCUCCGCCUUUUCAGCCGAGGAGGCAUAAACGCAUUUGCCUUGUGGGGUUGUGUCUCUGUUACUGCACCUGCACAAGCACACAAGGCAAAUGCGUGUACGCAGCCCUGCUCAACGUACUGUGUGGUUUCGCUCCAGGCUCCGGCUGGAGAUGUGGCUAUCCCCGUUGUAGGAGUUGAUCAGACUCUCAAAUAUUACAACGAGACUAGGCUUGGUCUAUAUCAGGGGGCGCACGUUCGGGACGAGAGCCAAAAGACGAGCUGGUGGCUCUCUCCCGCGCACUUGGCCUCGAGACGUCGCUGCCUCCAUGCAGUACGACGCCCUUAUCCAAACAGAUCUUUCUAUAGUCCGCGCACACAAGCGUGACUCCAAAUCGUGCAGAACGCCAGGACACGACAUCAUGAUGUCACAUUGAGUAAUCCUCUACACGCGUUCACUGCUACAGCAUUUGCAUUGUAUAGUGGAUGCGGCCGCUCAAGUCUCAACAACGGAAGGCCAGUUUCCUCACACAAUGCGUAAUGAUGCAGACUGUAUGAAGCGGGUGCCAUGUGCGUCGCCAUGACGGCAGCCGUAUGCACGCACUCGUUCGUUCUGAGUCCCGCCAGGGUGGUCUUCAGGACAAGCGGUCACAACCUGAAGUUUCCCAUGGGUUGACCAGCUACUACUAUGCAGUUCGAAUCACAAAGAAGCUAUCCUCACCACGAACGCGGUCGCUCGCUCAAGCACCCCUGGGACCCACCGUACGGCCCGCCUCCACGUCUGAUUGUAACCAGGGGUAGUCGGACAGCUCCAGCUCCACAUGGAGCCAGUCACGCCGUUGCCUAGGCGUCCUUAGACCCAUACUCCACGUCUCCGCCGCCGCCGCCGCCGCCGCCACCACCGCCCCCCAUUCCUAGGCCGCCGAACAGCCCACCCACCGCUACAGACACAUACGCGCCCGGCGGCAAAGCACCACCGGCACCGCCACCACCACCACUACCAUACCCGGUGCCGCCGCCACCACCGCCGCCGCCGCCACCACCGCCGCCGCUGACGGCGGCCGCGCCCGAUCGCCCACGAACGGUCACAGUGCUGGAAGCAGGAGGCGGGUAGGGCCCGGGGCCGCUGCCGGGGCUGCCGCUGCCGGCCGCGCCCGCCACGCCACCCGCCAGAGCCCCCACCCCUCCUCCCGCCCCCACAGCUGCAGGAUACUCCGCUCGUGGGCCGCCCCGUCAUUUAACGCCGCCGCCGCCCCACAGCCCGCCGCCGCCGCCGCCGCCGCCGUGGCCGCCGCCGCCCCAGUGGCCGCUGCCACUGCCGCCGCCGCCGCGCAGACCUCCAGAGCCCAGCACGUGACGCCCGGCACCGCCGUUCCGGCCGCCGCCGACGCCCGCCGCCGCCGCCACCCGCAUUCGCCGUACGAAUAUGUACAGCAUCAGCGCCGCCGCCAGCACGCCCGCCACCGGCAGCAUGCUGUACAGCGUGGAUGUGGGCGGCGGGACUCUGUUGGCGGUUGGCGGUUGGUUAGAGGUUGGGGUCAGGAUUGGGGUCAGUUGGAUACGGCACGUCAGUUGGCGGUGAUGCGUUGUGCGCGUUGUGCUCCCGGUGUGUAUACCCUUGUAUCCGCCGGCGCCCAGACCUCCUGCGCGGUGUCACAGCAGGGGCCCGCGCACAACAGGCCGGGACAGCUGAACCAGGGUACCUCAAGCAGCCUCAAAACAUGGCCGCCCCGACACAGCAGUCAACAUCACAAGCAGCAGUGCACUGACCGACCCGCACCCACCCCGCGCCGCCCGCUGCUCCACACCCAACACCCCACCUGCGGCUGUACAAGCCCUUCUCCGACAACAAUACCCCGCCGCCGCCGCCGCCGCCGCCCACCGCCGCCUCCUUCACAAUGCCGUCGGCGCCCGGCGCGCUGCCGGGGCCGUACGCCGCGGUCAGGUACUGGUACACCGCCUCCUCGUCCCAGGAUCCAGGCAGUGCGCCGGAUCCGGAUCCAGAACCAGAUCCGGGCUUGUACUGGACCCGGCAGGCGGGGCAGGCCUCCGGCGCCGGCCACACCUCCUUGGGCCACUCGGGGUCGCCGGUGGUGGAGUGGCCGUAGCGGGUCUCAAUGCCGCGCAGCCGCUCGUUCACCUGUGAGGGCGUGUGAGCGCAUGUUGAGGUGGUCAGGGACACCUGGGAGGUGCUGCCCAAGGUGUGUGUGCGUGUGUGUGUGCGUGUGUGUGUGUGUGUGUGUGUGUGUGUGUGUGUGUGUGCGCGUGCGUGCAUUUGGGGCGUGAGUGGCGUGGGUUGGCGUUCUUAAUAACAUUCAGCAGCCGUAGACACCCCGCACCCUGCAACCUCCGGUGACAGAGGCCCACACGCCCGUCCCCAUCCACCCGCUCUAGCCCGCCUCCACCCUGCUCCGCCCAGCCCCUCAGCCCCCUUCCCCCCACCCACGCCCCCCACCCCACCCCACCCCCACCCCCACACCUCGUUGUGUGUGCGCCACAGCCACAGCACCAGGUCCCGGCGGCUGGCGGUGGCGGCGGCGGCCUCGGGGGAGGCCAGGAUGCGGCCAAAGUGCUUCUGCGUGUGUUAGAAAACGCGAAAUAGGGGACACACAAACUGUGUGUGUUAAUGAGCACAAGGAACAGCAAGACGGUGUAUGCGAUGCAAACUGUGUGUGUGUGUGUGUGUGUGUGUGUUAAAGAACACAAGGAAAAGAAUGUGUGUGUGUGUGCGCGGGUGGUUGAUGGGGGUGGGGUUUGAGGGGGCGUGCAUGAAGGGAUGUUGUACGACAGUGCUGUCGACCUGCUGCCGUACGGCAAGGCCUCUCGGGCGCACCGGGCGCACCUACGCCGUGUCGCCUGUGCCCGGCGCUGCCCGCUGCCCGGCGCCCAGGCCCCUCUCCCUUCCCCUUGGCUUGGUUUGGUUUAGUUUGGGCUGGUAUUUACGACCCCACCCCCUAGUCCUGUCCCAUCGCCCUGUCCCGCAUGCCGCAUCACACAAGCCGCAUCCACACCUUGCCCCUCCCCCCUACGGCCACGACCACAUGAACGAGACUGCAGGUUACUACUUGCGAGCUCGUCUUGCAUUUCGUGACUGCGUGGGCUUUCUGACGAUGGGACUUUUUCGUUGGGCCCGGGCGCACAACCCUGCCCCUGCUGCCCCCACCCGCCUCCCCACCUGGCACGGCUCGCACAGGAAGAAGUGUGUGUUGAAGGCGCGCAGGUACUCCAGCACGGAGGUGGGGCUGGGCAUCCUGGUGUGCGGUAGGGAGGCGGGGGGGGGGGCUGUGCUCACCAUUCCGAGUAAGAAACUAGAGACUCAGAGAAGCAAGAGGGGGGUUGCAAAGAUGGGUACAGAGAAGUAGGGGUGUGAGCAGAUUGAGGGGGUGGAGGAGUGCGGUGUGGGAGGGUAGGGGCUCCAGGCAUGACUGCAAUAGUCAGGAGAGGGCGAUGUUACAAUGGCGCAGGUGGCUUUGAGAGGACGUCUACACAAACAGCCUACGCACACACACACGCCCCCCUCGAGGUUAGAGUAGCGGGGGUUGCGCGAUUUCCGGUUGGUAAGACCGGCGGCUCACCGCAGCGGGUAUGCAAGGUAACUUCACGUAACAUCCGUAAACCGUCGCUUUGCUGCAUCGCAUACACUGUCUUUGCGCAAUGUUUUCCUUGUGCUCUUUAACACACACGCCCUCCCCGCACCCCCCCACCUGGCCGCCAGUGUGUGUAUGAGGAACCACAAGCCGCAGGAGAAGCCGCGGCUGUCGGGCUGGCUGCCCGCACACGCCGACCAGAGCCCCCGCCAGGCCAGGCCGCCGGGGGGGCCGCACAGCGCGGCCCGCGUCAGGCCCGGCGGCGCGUCCUCCGCCGCCGCCGGCCAGGCCGCCUCGUAGCCCUCAAGCAGGCGGGCCGAGCCGGCCUUGCAGCUGCGAGUGAAUGCGCAUGUGGGUGUGGGUGAGAUUGGUUCCGGUCAUUCCUGGUGCAUGCUGUGGGAGCGGGGGCAGUCGGGAAUCAAACCCCAAUACUGCACCCAGGCUGCGUAGGGCGGGGGUUGCCGGACAUAAGACCCUGGAGGGCCCCUCCUCCUUCCUCCCCUCCCCUCCCCUCCCCNNNNNNNNNNNNNNNNNNNNNNNNNNNNNNNNNNNNNNNNNNNNNNNNNNNNNNNNNNNNNNNNNNNNNNNNNNNNNNNNNNNNNNNNNNNNNNNNNNNNCCCCUCCCCUCCCCUCCCCUCCCCUCCCCUCCCCUCCCCUCCCCUCCCCUCCCCUCCCCUCCCCUCCCCUCCCCUCCCCUCCCCUCCCUACCUGGGGCUGGGGUGCGCCUCCGCCCACGCCGCCAGCAGCAGCUGCAGCGCCUCGCGCUUGGCGGCGCCGCGAUGGAGCAGCGGCGUGCUGCCUGCGGGUGCGUGCGGGUGCGUGCGGGUGCGUGUGAGACACAUGGGGGUGGGGGUGGGACACGUGGUGGUGGGGGACACGUGGUGGUGGUGGGGGUUCAGGGGGAGCGCGGGCACGGGUGGCGCAUACGGUAAUGUAUCAGCGAGUGGCACUCCGGCGACCCGGGCCCUGGCCCACGCCCUGGUUUGGACCCACACCCGGACCCACCCCUGGACACGUACACGCGCCCACCCUGGGCAGCCAGUCAAAGCUACAGCCACACGGUAACGCAUUGGCGCGGGACCCGGACCCGGACCCGGACGCUGGCGCAGACGCGCAUGACGUGCUGUGAUGAUGUGCUGUGUGGCCCGGCACCCCACACGCCGCCCGUGUGCCGCCACACACCCCGUGCCUGGGAACAAGGGCGGCCGCCCCCCCCGCCCAUCACCAACGCACCCACCCCAGAGGUUCAUUCUCUCCCGCCCUGGCACCGCUCCCGUCCCGCACUCCCCUCCCGCCCUGGCCUCCCUCCCGCCCUGGCCUCCCUCUCGCCCUGCACUGCCCAGUGCCGAGCAGUGCCUGGUGCCCACCUAUGAUCUGCCACAGCAUCAGGGUCGCGCCCUCCACGUCCGCCAGCGUCCACUCCGGGGCGCCUGGCGGCGGCCGCGGACGCCGCUUGCCGCUCGCCGCCGCCCCCGUCGCCGCCGUUACCGCAGCCUUGCCUGCCCCCGCCCCCUUGCUGUCCGAGCCAUUGCCGCUGCCGGCUGUGGCGCCGCUGCCCUCCUCCUCCUCGGCCGGCUCCACGUAUGUUAGCGUGCUGCGUGCGGGCAAGGUAUGCAGCCGGUGGGGAAUGCGGUCGGUCGGUCGGCCGGUCGGUCGGUGAGGCGGCAAGGCGGCAAGGCGGCAAGGCGGCUCGGUCAGUCGGUUCGCCGCUGCCGGCCUGGCUGCCGUGCGACGGCACCCACCGCUCCUCUUGCUGUGCUGCACAUGUACAUGACACCCUCCACCCGCCGGGCAGCCAGGAUUGCGCAUUGCCUUCCCCACCCACCUAUCCGCCUGCUCCACACGCACAUAUCCGCCUACUCACAUACCCGCGCAUACACACGCCGUCACCCGUGUCCACUGCCCCCUCCACCGCCGCCUCCAGCGCCACACCGCCCCUCCGACGCCCCCUCCAACGGCCCCUUCACCACCCCCCCUUCACCACCACCCCAUCGCUGCCACCACCACACGCCACCCACGUGUUGAAGGCAGCUCCCACCCAGGUGAGGAUGGGCGCCAGCUCGCGCGGCCCCUCGAAGUUGGCCAGCGACUUGCGCUGCUUGGCGACGAAGGCGGGGCCAGGCCCCAGCAGCAGCGAGGGGUAGGCGCCGAUCUCAAAUGCGCUGCACAGGUCCACCUGGGGAGCAUGGCGAGGGGGACGAGGGGAGAGGGGAACGUUGUGGGAAGGCGCAUGAGCAUGAGCAUUUACAUGGGUUCGAGUCCAUGUGGCCCCACUAACUCCUUUGAGUCCGGGGGCGCGUUAGGUAAACAGGCAAAUGGCCUAGAUCAAUAGGAAGGCGCGGGUGUGAAGGAAUGGGUACCCACGGUUUCGCUUGGAGGCCGGCAGCGCCCCUGCUGGCUUCACCUGCGCCACCCACGACUCCCAUACGCAACCACUCGUGUACUAGAAGACAACAAAUAAGAUCCUUUGUGCGCGCGCUUGCACAAGCGAUCGAUCGACAGUUGCACAACCCCGCCCGCACCUCAGUUGCGCAGUCCACACGCGCGAUGAAGAGUUUUCCUCCGUCAAGCUUCUGAGUGCUCAGGAACUUUGCUAUCUUCUCGAAAGUAGGAGCAAAGUGUUUACACGCAGGGCACCACGACGCGUAGAACUGCAGUAGGCACGCAAAUCUAUGUUACCGCUAUCCGCCGCUAGGUGUACAAAUGCUUGGGGCCACUGAAGCUGUCCCUGGCGUGCGUACCUCAACGAGACAUUGCUGGGUGGCCGUCUGCUUCCCUAUAAUGUCGGUGAAAUUGGAUACUGCAAGCUGAAGAGCAACGUGCGAUGGCUCAAAUACCAUCGGCGUGUGGUCGUGUUGACUAGCUACAAAAACUGCCAGUUUCAAGCUCGCGAAGAGUGCGAGGAGCCAUCUUGACCGCAUUCUGGAGUUUAUCUAUCAUCUAUCUAGUACAAACCUAUGAUAUUAGGGCAUCGACAGGGGGUCGCGAGCCUGAAAAAAACUGACAAGGCCCUCAUUGCAAAAAUCUUCGCUGAAGGCCCUCGUCCUGCCGCCCUCCAGCAGUAGACCCAAAGGAGUGCUUUGAUUAAAUAAGUCUCAGCUCCUACGGAACCUGCAGGGGACUCUCCCGGCAAGGACAGGGGCCCCUGAACGCCGCUACUCCAUUGCUAGAUCCGCCUUUUCUUAUUGACCUUUUACAAUAAGACAAAAAUGCUUAUGCGAAAGCUGGCUUCGAUUCCGGCCUGCACCGGCCGGAACCCUUUGCCGGUCGUGCCGAGUGUCGCGCCUCGCGCGCGACAGCUGACCGCUGCUGCUCCUGUGGCAUCGAGAGUACACCAACAGCUCCUAGCUCCUGCUCGUGCGGGGCCUCCAGCGCUUGUGUAUGCGGAGGGCUACAAGGAGGUCGAGGAGCUUGCAGGCGCGCGCGUCGUGGUGGAGUCGGAUCCCCCGCGCGUCGAGUACCUAGUGAAAUGGAAGGUGAGAGCUGGGCCGGGUGCAGCGCGACCCACCUUAUGCUUCACGAGGUGUCGCGAGACAUCUCCCGCGUCGACCAUGCCAUCCGUACCCCACCCCCCGUCCCAACCAUCCUUGCUCGCUGCCCGUCAACCCCUGCCCUCUACCGCGCCGGGGUAGCGCCUAGCUGCUGCACUCUUCACCGCACUUCCUGCGCCCGGGAUGCUGUCAUGUGCCCAGGAGCCUGCACGCAGCUUACGCUCCCCCUCCCGCCCGCUCUUCCCGUCCCAUUCCAAUUCUUCCACAGGACGGAUCUGACAGCACCUGGUGAGCUGGCAGGAGCGAGGCCGGGGACGGCGGCCAGGGCUGGGACGGCGGCCAGGGCCAGGGCUGGGGCUGGGGCUGGGGCUGGGGCUGGGGCUGGGGUUGGGGUUGGGGUUGGGGUUGGGGUUGGGGUUGGGGUUGGGGUUGGGGCUGACGGGACAGGAGUGUCCAUGGCUGUUGGCUGGGCGAGGGUGGACUGGUCAGCAGCCGGGAUGCCCCGGGGUUGAAGGGGGCAGGCACUUCCGGCGCACACGCCCCAGGCGGUUGCAUUGGAUCCAGCACGGCUGCACGCCUCACAGCACCCCGGCACGGCGCCGCACGGCGGCCGGGCGGGGUGUCUGGCGGCGGGUCUGGCGCACCCUGACAGAGGCGUACCGUAUGGGCGCGUGCUUGCGUAGGGCCGUGUGCGGUGCUGGGUCACCCAGUCCUGUGGCCUGGCACCACACCCCACACGCCACCGCCUUCAGGCGCAGCAGCACGCAGCCAUGGGCAGCAGCAGCCCAGCCCAGCCCAGCGCCGCUGCCGGCGCGGGUGUUGGGCUCGGGGCCGGGGCCCGGUUGCAUGGGGCAUGGGGCCCUCGGCGGGGAGGUCUGGCGGGUACCCACCCGUUGCCGUACUAGACACCGUCAGCACAACCCGCGGCUCCCAGUCCGGGGCGGCCAGCAGGGGGGCGGGGAAACAGACUGGGCGGUCUCCUCCCGCCGCGCCGCACGUAGCCUGCAAUCAGCACUCCCUCGGCGCACUGCCUGGGCGCACUCCCUGCCAACACGCGCCCCCUUUCACACGCCCCCUUGCACACGCCCCCUUGCACGCUCCCUCCCUCCCUCCCUCCUCCCUCACCCUCCCGCCGCCGCUGUGCAGGGAGGUGGCUGCGGACCUGUCCGAGGACCUGGUGCGCGACUUCGAGGAGAAGUGGUGGGCGGCGGCACGCAAGGUGGGAGGCAGCAGGAGGAGCGGAGGGCGGAGCUGCUGUGGGGAGGGGCGUAACAGGGCAUGGAUGGGAGGGCGUGGGAGAAGCAAGAGCUGGGAGGAGCUGGGAGGCGAAGGAGGGGUUGACGUCAGGCUCAGGGCGCACGCCGUGGUGUUGGGGUCCUGACAGUGAGACAGCUUGCGCUUGUUGAUACUGUGGCCAUAGCGGAGGGGCCUGACAUGGAGACGGCGCAGAUGCGGGCACCGCUGGGGUCAAACCGCGGGGGCGGGGUGGGGGAGUGAGGUGGGCGACGGGAGAGCCACCCCACCUUUAAGGCAAGAUGUGGCCGCGGGGCAGGGGGCGCUGCUGCAGGCGGUGGUCAUAGGCAGGUGCGGCUGGCCAGGGAUCAGGGGCCAGGGGCCAGGAACCAGCGGCCAGGGGCCAGGGGCCAGGAACCAGCGGCCAGGGGCCAGGGGCCAGGAACCAGCGGCCAGGGGCCAGGGGCCAGGAACCAGCGGCCAUAGCGUCGUGCUGCGGCGUUGAGUCGAGGUGAUCGGCGGAAUGCGGGCGUGCGGGCGUAAUGCCACCAUCCCUGCAUUCGUUACCCACCCCACCCCACCCCACCUCACCCACCCUACCCCUCACCCCCCAGGCUGACGUGGAUGCCAUGAUCAAGAUGCUGGGCGGCGGCCGCGAGCUGCUGGCGCACGUGGUGGACGAGAACAGGCGCAGGUGGGGGCGGGGGUGAGAGGGCAAAGGGGGGCUACACGGGCGUGGCGUGUGUGUUUCGUGACAUGUCGGGCGGGGUCGCUUCCUGGUGGGGCGAGGAGGGCGAAGAAUGGGGAAGAGGGGGAGUGAGGAUAAACGGGAGGAGGGCGACGUGAGAGCUCACUAAGGAGAGAGGGCAAGGGGCAGGUGGGGGGGGGGGCACCAGGGUCGUGCCUGGGGCGUGGCGUGUUGGCACGGCGGCACGACCCAAACACCCGCCUCCCACCGCGCAAACCUACCUACCUACCUACCUGCCCACCCACUCCCUGUCUGCAGCGCGCUCCACUUCGCCGCCGCGCUGGGCUCCGCCGAGUGCACACGGCUGCUGGUGGAGGCGGGGGCGGAGCUGGACCUGCAGGACAAGGAGGGUGAGCGGGGGGAAGUGGGGGAGGGAAAUGGGGAGCGGGGGAGGGGGAGGUGGGAGGGGGAGGGGAGGUGGGGGCCGAGGAGGCGUGGCUACAUGGAAAGUCCGGGCCCAAAAAUAGGUCCUGAUUUAAGGGGUGAGCAGGGAGCGGAAGGCAGGGCAGGAACGGGAGUGAUUUGGGCGUGCAGGAUAUGGAGGGGGCGUGGGGUGGAGGAGGAGGGGCAGGGCCUGGGCGGAUGGAGGGGAGGAGGAGAUGUGGUGCUGGGGUGGGAUGCAAGCCUUGAUCACCCAAAGGGGGGAGGGGUCGAGCUCAAAAUGCACCACUGCGCCACCACCACACCACCACCAUCCCAACCUCACUUUACCCUUCACAGCACCCAUCCGCCCCCCCCCCCUCACCACCCCUCACCUCCCCUCCCCCUCCACACACCACCUCCCCACCUCCCCACCUCCCCCUCACAGGCUACACGCCUCUUCACAUGGCCGCCGGCUACAUGCACACGCCCUCCAUGGCGGUGCUGCUGGAGGCGGGCGCCAACCCCGAGAUAAAGGACAACACAGGCCGCGACGUGGUGAGCAGCAGGAGGGCUGGGGGCUGGGGGCUGGGGGGGGGGGGCGGGGCGUGUGGGGGAUUAGGUGGAGGGCGGUACUAGGUGGAGGCGGCCGAGUAGGGGUUGGAGUUGAGGCUGCAAGGGUCUCGCCGGACUGUAUGGGUAUCAGCAGAACACGGCGUGGGCUCGAUUGCCCAAACCUCUUUGCCCUCCUUCCCUCCCUCUCCGCCCACCUCUCCCCCAUCCCCCCAAAUGUUCCUCCUCCUCUCCUCCCCUCCCUCCUGCCCGCCCCCUGCAGGUGAACCUGAUUGAGAACCUGCGGGCCUCCAUGCCGCUGUCCAUGGGCAGUGUGCAGCGCAUCCUGCAGCUGGAGGAGGUCAAGAACUGCCUCACGGACAGGUCGGGAGAGGGGGGGCGGGGGCGGAGGGAGGGGGAGAGGGCGGAGGGGAGGAAAGAGGGGCAGAGGCGCGAGACGGGGCCCCGCCACAGCCACCCAGACGACCCCAACCACCCUGACCGCCCCUACCAACCACCCAAACCACCCCCUCCAACCACCCUAACCACCCGUACAGGCUGUACGACGAGGUGGAGCCGGGCAACGUGCUCAACUGCCGCGCCACGCCCGACGGCACCGGCCGCGAGUUCCUGGUGUCGUUCGGCGACGGCCGCGACGACGAGUGGGUGCCGGAGCGCAACGUGUCUGCGGACGUGCUGGAGGACUACCUGGCGGGGCUGGAGUACGCGGUGGCGGAGGAGGUGCUGGACGUGGUGCAGGUGGGGGGGGGGGGAGCGGAGGGGGGGGGAGGAGGAGAUGGGGCGAUGGGGAUUGUGGGGGGGGGGGGGCUGGACGGGUGUUGGGGGAGUGUUGGGAGGGUGUCAGGGGGGCGUGUGCGGGCUGCUGUGUGACUGGGAAUGGGGAACACGAGAGAAACGGAGGGGGGGCACAACCAGAUGCCACGCCGUGGUUGAGCGUCGGGAUGUGCCUCUUGCUGCGCCGCACGGCUCGGGACGACGUGUGUGUGGCCCUUGCACUCCUCCUCCUACACCGGGCGCCCCCUCCAACCCACGCACCCACCCGCCCUGCACCCGCAGGUGCGCACGGAGCGGCGGUUCAAAAUCCGCUGGUCGGACGGCUACCCGGUGAGUGGCAGGAGCACGGGGACGUGGGCGGAGAGGAGGAUGUGCGCAUGUCUGACAUCGGUAUGUGCCUCACUGGUUUGACGUCGUCGCGAGCGGUGUUGCAACCCGCGCUGGCCCUCGCCAGCGACUCUCCAAUCCACCCCAUUUCUUACACGCUCCUCCCCAUUGUGGGCUGGCUUGGUUACUGGUUUAGUUCGGUAUAGAAUGAACAGUUACCUCCCACCUCCCCGCCGCCGCCGGCCUUACAUACCCAUCCCCUCAUAUGCGCUGCCUGCACCAGCCCACCACUUCGUUGCCGCACUCAUGCUCAUACCGCCGCCACCCAUGCUGGUCCCCCCUCUCGUCGUUAACUAACCAUGCUGCCCGCCCCCGCCCCUCUCUCGUCCAGACCUCCUGGGAGCCCGAGGAGCACGUGCCGCCCGAGCUGAUCCAGCUCUUCGCCGCGCAGCAUCCCGAGCUGUUCGCGGCGCGCACCAGCGCAGAGGCGGCCGCCGCGCCCGACGGCUGGGCGCAGGUGGAGUACGAGACGCAGUCGUCCCCGGUGGCGGCGUACGCGCAGCCGGCGGCGGCGUCAGGCAACGGCGCGGCGGGCAACGGCGCGAGCGGGAGCAACGGGAGCAGCGAGAGCAGCGGGAGCGGGAAUGGGAUAGGGUCAUCGCAGCGUGAGGCGGUGGGUGCCGCGAGGUAGAGGGCAGGUCCGGGGCCUGGGGGCUGAGGGCUGAGGGCUGGGGCCGGGGGGUGGGGAGCUUGGUGGCUGAGGUGAGGGGCGGGGGCUGGAGAUGGCGAUGGAGUGAGGCGGACAAGCUGUGUGUGUAUGGGCAUAUCAUUACUGCAGUACGGUAUGUGUGUUGGCUAGGUCACAACGGCUGCCGGGAUGAGGCGGCGGCGGUGCGGGCGCGGGGUUUCACAGCUUGUCACUUGCGCCUGCAGGACGGGGGGGGGGGCGAGUGGCACGGACGUUGACGCGGAUGGCCGACGGCGCUAGAUUGUCGAGUGCAGAGACUGUUUCGAACGACGGGCGAGUCAGUUGUGCGUGGCAAAGGCCAAUCGCGCGUGCACUGGGUUAGGCAGGGCGACUGCACGAGCACACAUCGGCGACUGCUACUUCGGUGUGUACAUGCGGGCGGGCUGCACGCACCUGCAGCCGGGAGUAGGUGCGACGAGGCUGGACAGGGCUGGACGCCAUUUGAGAAGAUAUUUGAAUCAUCACACUGACAGAUAGGCUGAUGGAGUGACGAGGUGGUGACCCGGAUGCGCAAGUAGCUUGCGCCGAUGGCGGCCGACAGCGCCGGCCGACAGCGGGUGGGCAGACAGUCCCCGGGGGCAGUCCGGCGGCGGCGCAGCGCUGUGUGUGUAUACGGUAUGUGUAUAGCUUCUGUAGUUCUGUAGACUGGUGCGCAAGCGUGCGCAGCUUUAAGUGCUGGAGAUAAGCUGACGGGGGCGAGGGGGCUGACCGCUGACGAGGCCCCGGGGACACGGCGAUUGCUAUGCCGAGGCCGCUUGCGCUUCCCUGAGCUGCGCCACCCCUGGCGCCCAGCCCUGGCGCGCCUGUCCUGUCACACCGCUGCGUUGCUCGUUACAGCCUUCAAUCCCCGAUGCCGGUCAGGGCCCGCAGCUCACGGCGGCCACACGUCCCUCGCCCUUGCCCUGCUUGCCCCUGAGUGACCGCCCUCCACUCGCACAGCCAUCCAGCGUCGCACUCCCCCCCAUCCCUGCGGUCAUUCCAGAACGGCCCGGCUCGGCCCCCUUGCUCCCGUGUCCUACGCAUGUCUCCGGCACACCCAAACGCCUCCGCAACCGAAAUACACCAAGACCCCUUCGACCGCCGGCUCAAUCGACACCGGGCGCCCACGACGAAGGCCCCCGGGCCUCUCGCCCUCGCGGCCGGGAAAGUCUCGCUCUAAUUCAUCAUCAUCUUCCAGCAUCUUCUAGGUCCAAGGGCAUUCGCCCACCGAGGAAGUCCAAUGGUCAAUCAGCACUACGCUCUACUUCGUCUAACGCCGCCACGACCACCAGCGCUUACACUAUGAGAAGCAUGCUAUGGCUGGGGCCGCCGUCGGGACUAGGUUCGCACACCUGGGGUCAUCAGCCGACGGGUUCCUAGACGGCACAUCACAAUUGAUAUGGGUGCCGCAACUCGUGUCGGUGUCCAACUCACACAAGUCAUCAGCCUUGCUCCAGCGCAGUCAACUCGCAGGUGUUCACACGGCCUAUAUGAUCCCGGCCGGCGUGGUGUUCAGUGUGCACCCCCGCCACAAAAGCAACGCCUCUUCUCCGCCGCGGCCGCGUCCUCACCCGCUGCCCACCACACAUGCACACGCACACACGCGUCCGCCCGUUGCCAGGCGCGCCUCCUCACGCGCGACCGCCCCCGAACCCGAAUGUAUAUACCAUUCGGGAGCGCUUUUUGUGUGCACCACCCGCAACCCGUGGCAGCUGUUGCUCUACACAGCCUUUGCCCAGUCUCCGCUUGCUCCCGCUCCCGCUGGCUCCUGCUCUUCCGCCCUGUCCUCGUCGUCGUGUAUCAGCUGCUACGCGCCGCGUCCUGCUCAGAUCUGGCCCUGCAUCGUGACCGGCCAGUCCGCGGGCCGGUCCCACACCGUCUCGUUUGUCCGGUGGUUGUGGAAGUAGGGCUCCCCGGUGUCGCGGGUGCGGUACUGCACCCAACCGUUAGGGCCCUGCACCGGGUAGCCCUGCGCCGCCCACACGUCCUCCGACACGUUGGGGCCGGGCGCGCCGCCCUGGCCGCCGCCGUAGCCGCCGGGCAUGCCGGGCUGGCCGCCGUAGCCACCACCGCCGUAGCCGCCCUGUGGUGGCAGGGAGCAGUUGCGCAGCCGAGAGGGGUUGAGAGGCAUGCGGUCGGUGGGUUGCACGGGCAGGGUUUGCGCGGGCAGUUUGAGCGACUAAGAGGGGUGCGGCUGCUUUGCGGCUGGUGCGAGAGCUGCGGGGCAUGGCCCGAGUAACAUGAGAAGCUGUGGCCUCCGAGCUGGAAAUCGCAUUGCAAGGGCGGGCUCAUGCGACCCUCCAAGGGUGCGGAGUUCGGCAGGCUGCAACACCUGCAACCACUGCUUUACUGUGUUUCUUUCGACUGCAUCAUGCAGCAGGCCAGGCCAGACCGACUGUUGCACGGGCUAGGACUCGGCAAAAUGCCCGAUGAUCGCGCAACGUCCCAGCAACGAACCCCGCGGCAAUGCGCGUAUUCCACCUCCUAGAUGAGUGCCUCAGCAUCCCAAGCAAUACAGCGGCGCCGUAAGCUCUUACCCGGCCACCGUAGGGACCAGCAUUGCCUCCAUAGCCCCGGCCACCACCACCGCGCCCGCCCUGACGCUCGGGCAGCUUCCGCAGCUCGUGCUCGCCAUGGGCAAAGUUGCAGCGCGCGCCAAAGCGGCAAUCGCCCUGCAGCCACCUGUGCACCCCGGCCAAAGAGCGCGCUCAACUCGGUCAAGGUUCUGCCGGAACCUGUUCGGCCUGGGUUUCCCGCCCGUGCAAUUGGCCUGCUGGUCUUACCUAGUGCAGACCUUGGUCUUGGCAUUCUCCGCGGUGCCCCUGAAGCCGCGAGGCUUCCCUCCCUGGCCCUCGCCAUCACCCUGGCUGCCCCCGUAUCCGUCCCCCCGACGAUUGGGGAAGGCGCCGUCCAUCUCGGCGAGUGGCUCCUGGAAAUUAAUUGUGAAAAGUCUAAAGAGCCUCGAGGGCUCUUACAAUCGAACUAGCGAAAGGUUCCUAAAAUCUAUUGGCUAUGGCCCUAGGGACAUGAACUAAAGGGCUCACUAGCCUUACAAACUAUUAUACCGAUUCCGCGCGAAGCGAAGGUUGGCAAAACACUUGCGCGGGUUCCGCGCCUGCAUGGGGAUGCUCCUGACUACUGCCGCGGAAAUCUGUUCUUCGUAUGAAAUAAGGAAGUCGCAUGGCUGCGUGAAACAUGCUUGCCAUGACCGCGACGGGCUUGCUGCAAGUUGACGCGAAGUGCAAAAGUGCACACUGGGCUACAGGCUCUCACUCGAGAGCCCACGCUGUGCCGGGCAUUCGCAGUCUAUGCAUGGUCGUGUGCAGCGGAGCAAGGAGCGCCACCUUCAGGAAGGAGCAAUCAACGGCCGGGCCCCGAGCGGACUGCACGCACUGCCUGGGCUUGUCGCGGAGGCCGAGGGGUUAGCAAAGACUGCGCACUGUGGCGUGCAGGUGGUGUGCAGCACGUGAGUGGGGCACAGCGGGGGGGGGGGGUACGGACUUCUGCAGCCUCUGCUAGGGAGGGAGGGAGGGAGGGAGGGCUCCAGGGGGCCACCACGUGUCGGCUGCAGCGUGCUGAUGUGGGCGUGUGAUGGGACAGGGUUUAGGCAGGUUGGCGAGGUCCCGUAGGGUGCAGCUGAUGCCCAUAUCCCAAGCAGACGGAAGACAGUUUGCAGUGGCAGAGCAGAAGUGCAUGGCUGGCCGAACGUGCUGAUGUGGGCGUGCGAUGGGACAGUGGUAAGGCAAGCUGGUGAAGUCCCGCUGGGUGCAGCUGAUUCCGAGACCCCAGCAGAUAAACAAUUUGCAAGGGCGGGGCAGGAGUGCGCCGCUGGUCGAACGCCGAAGUUGCUGGUGUGGGCGGAGCUUCGGGGAUGGGCGAUUCCGGUGUGGUUGAUGCAACAGGAUUUGAGCGACGCUGCAGGCUGCAGCUCUCCAGCGGGGCGUCCCAGCUGGCCACAUGGGCGGGGGCUGCGGGAUGCCUGGGGAGGGGCGACCCAGGGAUACGGGAUGCCUGGGCGAGCGGUGUGGGGAUGGGCUGGGUCGGGUUGGCGCAGGCGUGGUGUGUCACAUGUCCCAGUCGGGUCGUCUUCAGUGGGCAGUGGGAUAUGUAGCCACCUAACCGGGCACCCCGGGAUGCCUGGGGCCGCAGGAGGGUGGCUUCCCGACCCCGACGACUCCCACCCGCCGGCCAUACAUACGGUAGAUGAGGAAUGGCCACUUGAUUGAUCGAGUCAUGCACUCACGAAUCCCGGCGCCCAUGUAUAGCCGAUUGGCCGUUCGUUGCAGCUCACUUAGGAAUGUGCCGGCAACGGCUGCUGCUGCUACUGCUACUGCUGCCACUGCUGCCUGGUGCUGCCACUGCUGCUUCUGCUGCUUCUGCUUCUGCUGCCACCGCUGCUCCUGCUGCUGCUGGUGCUGCUGUCUCGCCGCCAGCGCCGUCUUCCUCUGCUGCUCCUAUCACCCACCCCGCCGAUUUUGGGACUGCCCACGGAGUCGGCACCUCCUCGGCUCCGCCGCCGCCGCCACCAUCUCCGCACAGCCGCUGUCCCCCGGUGCGCGGCCGCGCCGCCCGCCGCCGCCGCGCCCGUCGCCGCGCCAUUAACCGCCGCCCUACGCCUCCGGCCCCCAGCUCAGCCCCCACAGCGGCAGCGGCGGCGCGACUGAGCUGCUUCAGCUGACUGGGCGGCGGCUUGCCGGCUGGCAGCGCGCCCGCCACUGCUGCCAGCGCUUCAGUGCUUCUGGUCGCUGUUAUGCAGAUGCAAAGCCAAGACCACUAGCCCCCAGUACUGCUCACGGCAGCAUCCUGUGGCCCGCCCGGCCAGCAGACAGUGACGGGCUGAUGGCAGCGACUACAAAACAGUGCUGGGCGGUAAGAGGACUGCGAGAGUGGGCAGAGUGGGCAGAGCUAUGCAGGGGAAGUCGGCAAAUGGGCAUCGGGCAGGUGCCUUGCCUUGCGACUUGCGUGUAUAUGUGUGUGUGGGGGGAGAGUUCAGGGGCAUGCAGGGUACCUGGCACAUCGCCUGACGGUCGCAGAUGCUCAUGGGCCAUGAUAGGGUGUGCGAUGGGACAGUCGGGAAGGCAGGUUGGUGAAGUCCCGUAGGGUGAGCUGGUUCCCCAAACCCAGCAGAUGGCAAACAAUUUGCAAGGGCAGGGCAGGACGGCAGGAGUGCGCGGCUGAGAGGAGGGAAGGGCUGGUCGAACGCCGAAGUUACUGUACCUGCAACCUCCCCUGACCGGCAAGUGGCUGGCUGGCUUGAAGUUUGCCGACGCGCAUCGGGCCGUGAUAGGGGAAAGCCGGAAAGGACGCCGGGGAGUUGCUUGUGUUCAUGUGCGUUUCUCCGCGCGUUGACCGGGCGCAUUUCCCCAGUGCUUUAGUAGUAUUAUUAUGCCCAAGACCAGCUUCCACCAGAGCGGGAGCGCAACGCUGCAUGGCCAUUUUGGCUGCUUACACAGUAUUCGAAAGGUGGGUAACACGCGUGUGUCUCAGAUUAACCCGUCAUUAUCACUCUUGCUCCCUCUCUUUGCACACACCUCUCCAUCGCUCUCUCACACACCUCCAGUCAAUCGUGACCUGCACCCUAGUUGGAGGGCAAGACGCCGCGGCCCCACCCUCGUCACGACACCCCUUCAAUCGGGAACAAGGGCACAACCCGCAGAAAACCACACACAUGCUGCCACGCCCAAGCGUGUUUAUCGUGUGUGUACGGCCAGAUAACAAUCUGUCUGCUUCCACCGCUACCCUGACAUGGAGCUGGUUUGUGCCACCUCUUAACCAGCACCAAACGCCGCGGCACGUACCAUUGGCGAUCCUUGACGCGGGCGCAAACUCCCGCUGCCGCUGUUGCUGCAGCUCCUGUCCAGAGCUCCAAGCCCCCUCCUACCUCCACCCCCUCCUAGCUACUCCUCCUCACCUUCCUCCUGCUCCACGCCCUCUGCUCAAACCACAGAACCACACGCGCGGCCUGUGCCGCCCCCCUGCCCCACUCUGCGCUCAGUCCUGCGCCACGCAUGCCGGCCAGCCAGCUCCACCACAUAGGCCAGCCAGCACACCAGCCCGCUGCCGACCAGUCGCAGCGCUCAGUCAGCAGCAGCGCUGAGACGCUGUUUAGAUGGUCAUGCCGGAGGGCAUGCCCGAGGCGGUCAUGCCGCCGGGGAUCUCCGAGGGCUUGUGCUUCUCCACCAUCACCGCCUGAGGGGGAGGAGCGGGAGGGAGGGGAGGAGGGAAGUGGCAGAGUUAAGGGCGGUGACGCGGUCCUCAUCAUUAAUGUCUUCACGGAGCAGCAAGCCCCAUCACUAUGCUGCACCGUCAUUGCUCGCUGCCGCUCUCACUCCAUUCAAGCUUGCUCGGCCCCCUCCCUCCACGGCCUCCCUCCUCCGCAACUCCCCAUUCGCCGCCUCUCCUCCUUUCCCAGCCCUCCUCCUUUCCCAGCCCUCCUCCUUCCCCAACCUCCUCCCUCCUCCCCUCCUCCCCUCCUCCCCUCCUCCUGCUCACCUGCGUGGUGAGCAUGAUGCCGGCGAUGGACACCGAGUUGAGCAGGCCGUUGCGGGUCACCUUGGCGGGGUCGAUCACGCCGGCGUCCAGCAGGUUCUCCACCUUGUCAAUCAUGGCGUUGUAGCCCACCUGGGGAGGUGGUGGGUUGGGGAGACGGGGGAGGAGGGAGGGGGGGGGGUCAGGGUUAGUGGCGCUGCGCGUUGGGAAACCAAAAGGCAGCCGCUGUCAGAUCCUGGUCGGUUACGAUGUCAGGCGCCCGACAGGGAGGAGGGGUGAGGCACGACCUGCUCCCUGCCCGCUACUGCUACUGCCACCCGCUACUGCUGCUGCCGCCCGCUACUGCUACUGCCUCCCGCUACUGCUACUGCCUCACCCCCCCACCACCCAGACACUGCCUCCAGCUCGCCUCACCUCGAAGGGCUUGCCCAGCAGGCGCUGCACAAUGACCUCGCCCUCCACACCCGCGUUGUCGGCAAUCAGGCGGCAGGGGGCGCGCAGCGACCUGGGGAGGAGAGCGAAGAGGGAGCGCGAAGGACAAGGCAGCAAGGGCUGGUGAGGACAGGCACGUGCCGUGCGGUACUCAAGCCGUUCCGGUCUGGCGGACUGCACAAUGCUCUUCUGCGACAGCAGUCCAAGGACGACACUCCCCAGUAACCCGGCCCCACUUGCGAGGCAUGGACCCAAGACUAGCCCACACAUUCGAACGCGGCCGGCACAACUCGCUCGCUCUUCUGUAUUGGGUUCGGUUUAUAGUUUGGACUGGUAUCUACAACCCCGUCACCCCGUACACACACACACACACACACACGCUUCUCACUUCAUGACGAUGUCGGCGCCCAGCUUCUCCUCGGCGUCCGUCAGGGUCUCCUUGAAGGCGGGGACCAGCUCCGACCUGUGCGGGGGCGCGUGUGAGGGCGCCAGCGUCAAGGCGUGAUGCGGCGCGGUAUGCGUGCUGCGAGGCAAACAUGACGAGGCGGUGGCAUAUCCCGCGCGCAGCCGCUUACUGCCCUCGUCCCCUGCAGUCCCGCCUUUGCCGUGCACACCCGCCAGCCCCCUCCCACUCCACCCUCCACUCCCUCCAAUCCCUCACAGCACUCACAGGUGCAGCAGCGCCGCGCCGCCGCCGGGCACGAUGCCCUCCUCCACGGCGGCGAAGGUGGCGUUCUUGGCGUCCUCAAUGCGCAGCUUGCGGUCCUCCAGCUCGGCCUCCGUGGCGGCGCCCACCUGGCAGCGGCAGCGGCGGUGGGGAGAACCAGAGGAAGGGGUGGGGGGGUGAGGAGAGUGUUGGUGGUGGGGAUUUACAUGUAUGACUGGUUCAGGAAGUGGUUGGGGGAAAGGGGUGUCACUGGUUCCACUCUCCACCCAGCCAUAUGCAUUCAUCCCCACUCCGCCUCCCCACCCUCGAACCCCCUCCAAACCCCUCCCCCUUACCCCCGACGCUUCCCCUCCGCCUCCCUCACCUUGAUGACGGCCACACCGCCGCUCAGCUUGGCGAUGCGCUCGCUCAGCUUCUCGGUGUCGUACACCGAGUCGGUCUCGGCCAGCUCCUUCUUGAGCUGCGGUAUCGGAAUAGACACAACAUGGAGAUAGUUACAUAUCAGUUUGAGAAACGCUUGUUCGCCGCCCCCUGCCGCCGCUCUUCUCCCCCCAACCGGCCCCCCUGCCGCCUGCCCCCCCGCCUACGCGCACCUGCGCGAUGCGCAUCUCGAUCUCGUCCUUGGAGGCGGCGUCGGCGAUGAGGGUGGUGGUGUUGUUGGCCACCGUGACCUUGCGCGCCACGCCCAGCUGCUCCACCACCGCCUGCUCCACCUUCAUGCCCAGGUCCUUGGCAAUGAACUCGGCGCCGGUGACAAUGGCAAUGUCCUGUGUGGGAGUGCGGGUGGGGAUGUGUAUCACGAGCCGAGCCGAGUACGCAACGUUGGUACAGCCCCCCAUGCCCCACCCACCUAGUGCACACAGCAACCCCCCCCGCACCCAGGUAAUAUGCACACGCGCACACACGCGCACCUGCAGCAGCGACUUGCGGCGCUCGCCGAAGCCGGGCGCCUUGAUGGCGCACACGUUGAGCACGCCGCGCAGCUUGUUGACCACCAGGGUGGCCAGCGCCUCGCCGGACACGUCCUCGGCAAUGAUCAGCAGCGGCGCGUUCAGGCGGGUCACCUGCAGAGAGGAGGGGCGGAUGUGUGAUUUGGAUGGAAGUGGGAGUGAUGACACAACACACAAGAGGCACACGUGCCGUGUCGUCAUGCCGUGUCGCCGCUUCCCCAUGUUCGGCCGGCACACACGCACACGCACCUGCUCCAGGAUGGGGAUGAUGUCACGGAUGGCGUCGAUCUGGUGGGAAGCGAGGGGGAGAGGGACAGGAGCGAGAGGUUAGACGUAUGCCCCGAGCAUACACACGCCCCGGGUGGCUGCCGGCGGUUCCAUCAUCAUCAUGCGUUCCCGCUGCCGCUGCUCCCGUUGCUGCCGCUGCUCCAGUUGUCCGCCGCUGCCGCCCCGUGCCGCUGCCGCCCCGUGCCGCUGCCGCCCCGUGCCGCCGUGUGUCCACGCAUCAUGCGCCAGGCCCAGGACCCUCGCAGCCCGCCGCUCUGCUGCCGCUGCGUCCGGAGUCCCUCCGCCACCACGCUGGUGGUGCUCCCUCCCCGUCCCACCAUUCCUGUUCAUUCCACACCCGCUUGCCACCUUGCCAACCGCAUUCCCCCUCAUCCCAUGCUCCAACCUUUCCCAUACCCCUGCCCCAAAUACACACACGCCGCAAGGCCCACCCCCUUAAACACACACCAGACUCCCCCCACCCAACCUCCCCCUCCCCUCCCAUUCCGCCCUCCCCAUCCCCCCCGCCCUCCUUACCUUUUGGUCGGUGACCAACACGCGGCAGUUGUCGUACUCGACCAGCAGGCGCUCCUGGUUGGUCACGAACUGGGGGCUGAUGUAGCCGCGGUCGAUCUCCAUGCCCUGAGGGUUGUGAUACGGGUGCAUGGAGGGUGUGCGCGGAGAGAGUGGGCGGGGGAGGGUGUGUGGGGGGGUGGGGCAGUGCCCCAGUGUCCCAUGCCGGCUGCACGCUGCUCCUCUCUGUGACUGCCCCUCCCUCCCCUCGUCCUCGCCUCCUUCUCCCCCUCCCCUCCCCCAGUUUGGGCUGGUAUUUACAACCCCACCUCCAACCCCACUGCCGCCCUCACCUCCUGCACCUCCACCACGGUCUCGGUGCUGUUCGAGGUCUCGAUGGACAGCACACCGUUGGAGCCCACCUGCAGUCGCGUGCGUGUGUAUGUGUGUGUGUGUGUGUGUGUGUGUGUGUGUGUGCGUGUUGGUGGAGAGGCAGUGAGUGUUCAGGCAUGAGUGUAUACGACACAGGUGUAUGUGGGCGAUCUGUGUGUGGGUCCGCCGUGGCUCAGCUCGGGGGCGACCCCUUGGUUGGCAGGCCCCUCCCACUGCCCGAUCCGUGUGACAACGCUGUUCGCCCCUGCCCUCCAAUUCACCUGCUCUCAGAUUCACCCCCUAAUUCCCCUUUGCAAUGUUCGUAUGUCCGUGCGAGCUCGUGCGCUCCCCGCCCUAUCUCCCUUUGUUCCUGCCCGGCCUUGCCGCUUGCCGCUUGCCGCUGCCCCCACGUGGCCCCCAUGUGCCUGCACCCGCAUACCGACACACCACCGUCUGCCCACAGCACCUGCCCAUCCGCGAUCCGGUUCCACCCAAUACACAACGGACCCUUGGCCGCAGUCACCACACAGACACACACAACUGGGCAAACACCCUCAACCCCAGCCCCAUCCCCACCUUGUCCAGGGCAUCGGCAAUCAUCUCGCCAAUGGCGUUGUCGUUGCCGGCCGAGAUGGAGGCAACGUUCUGUUGUUGUCGGUUGGGUAGAUGCAGCAAGUGUUAGCGAGUCAACUGGUUGGUCGGCUCGUUGGCUCGGGCGCCGCGACUGCACACAGACGCUAUCCACGAACAAGACUACGUCUGUAAAGGCGCUGCCCGCUGCGACGGCGGCAUUUGAAUUCGUCCGCUCCGCCCCGCCUCCCGCCCCGCCUGCCGCCCCUCGUCAGCCCUCCUCAUCCCCCUCACCUUGAUGUCAUCGCGGCCCUUGACGGGCUUGGCGUGCUCCUUGAGCUUGGCCACCUGGAGGGCGCGGGCGCGGGGAGGACACCGCGUGGUGAAGGAGCAUGUGACGCGAACAGGCGGGCGCAGGUGAGCGCCAUUGCUUGCAGCAUGCUCCAGCACACACACAGAAACACACAAACCCAAUCACACAAGGACAAACACACGGUCCCAAGCUUUUAAGCACAAUCCCAAACACUGCAACUAAAGUUACUAAGCACUCACCAGGUACUCGGCGGUCUUGUCCAGGCCGCGCUUGACGGCGAUGGGGUUGGCGCCGGCGGUCACGGACUGCAGGCAGGAGGCGGGGGCGGGGGGGGGGGUGUAAAUACCACCAGCCCAAACUACACCAAACCAAGCUAAACACACACAUACACACACAUACACACACAUACACACACACUUAAACACUUACACACACACACACAAAGAGAGACGCACCUGCACAUGCAACAGCGCCACACACACACACACACACACACACACACACACACACACACACACACACACACACACACACACACACACACACACACACACAAAGAGAGACGCACCUGCACAUGCAGCAGCGCCGAGGCCGCCGCGGCCGUGGGCGCCGGCACGCUGGCCGCGAAGCCGGCCGAGGCGGCGGAGCGCGGCAGGCCCAGCGCCGUGGAGCCGCCGCCCAGCUGCCGGCACGCCACGGUCGCCUCCUCCGAGCCCCAGUGCUUGGAGCACACGGCGCCCCAGGUGGCGCCGCCGUCCGCCGAGGCCUGCGGGGUCCGUGGGUGAGGAGUGAGGGCAUGGCGGCAGGAGGGGCGGAAGGGGCAGGCGGGGAGACAUGCGUGCUGUUCUGCGCUGCGGAGCCCCAAGGUGUCCGUGGCGGGGAUCAUGAGGCCACCUGGCAGGGCGCUGGCCCGAGCUAGUCGGCGAACCCGUAGGACCCCAUGAUCACCCGUAUCACCCGCAUCAUCCGCAUGCCCCACAAUCAUGCCCCACAUUCAUGCCGCUACCGUAAUCACGACGCGGACCAUCCCUGGGUUCCCUCCGGACCCGCCUACCCCCCGCCGCGCCUGCAACCUCACACAGUCACACACCUGCAACCAGCCCGACUUGGCGGUGCCGCUGGGGCUGACGCGGCCGCCGCCCGCCAGUCGCAGCGUGAAGCUGAGCUUGGAGGCCGAAGCUAGCUGGCGGCGGCGGUCGACAUCGGCGGCGCCGUGCGCGUGUUGCAGGUCGCCGCUGCCGGUAGCGUAGUGGCCCGAACCGCCGCCUAGCUCGCGGCAAGAAGCCAGCAGCACGGACGACAGGCCCGUACAGUCGUCAUUCAACUCCAGGCUACAGGGAGGGGGGUAAAAGGGGGAAAGGGAGGAGUGUAAGGAAGCGCGUGUGAGGGGAAGGCUUCAGCUGGCGGCCAGUGCACGUGUGCGUGCUCGUUGGAAGGCGGCACAGUUCGUGGACGUGUUACGUAAAACGUGUGCACAAGGUGAUGCCAAAUCAACCCGGUGUGCACUGUAUGUGCUGGCGGAAUAUAGUGUGUGAAACGCUUUGGGGAUUCUCGCACCUAUGUGGUGCGAAUUUCCGCCUGCAUGCCAUGCCGAAUCCGAGUGUGCCCACACCGGCCUAUACUCCCCGCCAAGGACUGCGCUCGAGUGCAGGUCUCCGACUCUUCUCGUUGCCUACCUGAUAUCAUGUCCUUUGCUGGGCUCGUCCCCCUUGGUGGCGAUGAAAACUUUGUCGCUUCCGCUAGCCCACUGCAGACUGCCGACGACAAUGAGCAGCGAUACCAGCAGUGUGAAAGACCUUGCUUGACACAUUUGGGCGGCUAUAAAGGUGGUUCUAAACUCUGCCCUUCCGGCGAGGUUCUGCGAGGCGCGAGCCUCCAGUAAGUCCUUGACGCGCCUGCCUAAGACCAAGUGGAUACUUGGAGUAUGCUUGCGCCCAUUCAACGCAAGCGCGUUGCCGCUGUGCGGCCGUGUCGAGGGUUCACAGCAAUUGCUUUAUUUAGCUCGCAACGAUUUGUGUAGCUUGGGUAGCAAUAAUCGACAGGUUUUGUGUGUUGAGAAUGACCAGUGAGUUUGUAUCUGCAACAAACGCAAAGGACCGCAAACAGCCGCGCAGUACGGCGAAUGUGUGUGACACACACAUUCAGUGUGUGCGCUGUGUUUUGCACGCAUCUGGCAUUUGACAGCAUGGGAGUCCCUGCCUGAAGAUGACCGUGGCAGCUGCGCAGCGGCAAAGUGGCAGGCUACCGUAUACAGGGGUCUCAGAGGCUGGCUGGACGCGCUCCUCGAGGCGCUUUGCCUUUGCGAGCGUGCGGACAAGUAGAUUUUCUGGUAGCAACCGCCCUCCACAUUCACCAGCAUCAUCGGUACCUGCAGGUAGUGGACAGGCUGGGUUCCUCCUGUUCGGACGUUGACACACGGGCUCGGCUGCUGGAGAGUGGAGGCGGGCAUGCCCGUGGCGCGUGUGGACCUGACUUGGGACGAGUAUGUAAGGGAGAGGGGUGAGGGGUGUGUGAUGGGACAGGGUUCAGGCAGGUUGGCGAGGUCCCAUAGGGUGCAGCUGACGCCCAUACCCCAAGCAGACAGCAAACAAUUUGCAACGGCAGGGCAGGCUGGUCGAACGCCGGAGUUACUGUACCGACAAGUUGCUGGCUGGCUGGAAGUUUGCUGAUGCGCGCAGAGGGGUGAGGGGAGGGGAGGGGUGGCAGCCCGCAGCCGUACGGUGUACGGUAGGGCCGCGGGAAUGUAGGCAGGCUGUAUGAGGUUUUGGAUACGUGACUAUCUGUCUGUGUCCUUGCGAGGCCUGGCAUGGCAGCGUGAUUUACAGAAAUGGGGUUCAGCAUAAUGCAACACCACACGAAGCCAGAGGCAAGCAUCGUCGAUAAUGGGUGAGUUCUCAGGCCCUGACACAGCUCUGAGUCUUCCGACGCCUGGGCAAGCUGAAGCUGUGUGUGUGAUUGAAGGCCAGGUCGUCCUUAUGAUUUGGCCAGGCUGCAUCAGUUUGGCCAGAACACAGAGGGGCAAGUCCCAGUACUAAGAAAGUCCAAUCCUCAGUGCCUCGAGCGCUCGCCUCGCGGAUAGCAUGAAGUGGAGGGGAGCACGUGGAGGAAACCCCUCCGUGUCACUUACAAGGCUGGAGGCCGGGGGGCCAGCAUGGAUGUGUGACGGGUGUCCCUGCGUCUAAGCUGGUACCUGAUCGUCCGACACACGCAUGCGAUGCAUAGGAACUCCGCAGCCCCACGCCGCGACAUAAAUACCAAACAUGCCGCUCUUGUGCAGCCCAGGACCCACACUGCCCUGAUCGAGCACCACAACAGAGCAGGCGUGUGUUUCCCUCCUCCAGCGCGGCACCGCACACGCCCCUGCCCCGCCACACGCACGGGUACUGUUCAUCGGCGACACCCCGGGCCCCUACCCGUACCCGCCGGCGGUGCCUGGCAGGCGGCUCCCGGGCCUCUCCGCCGCGCCUCUCACACUUGACAGCCACACGCACGUCACCUCAUUCAUUCAUUGGUGGCAAGCCGACCACGCCACAGAUCGCUAGCUCCGAACAGGUGUGCACCGCACCUCCCUCAGCCGCGGGCAGGAGCGGCCUUAACAACCAUGCCGCCGCGCCCACCCCCACCGGCCGCCCGCACUACGUGAGUCGUGGCAUUGGGCGGAGCAGCCUGUGUGGCUCAUGCCAUUCCCGCCGCCAGUGCCGCUGGCACCAGUACCGCCAGGGCCGCGAGUCCCUACCAACAACGACGCGGCAGCUACCACGGCCAGCUGCAGGUCUGCCUACCAGUCGCGCCGUUGGUCGGGUUGGAGCGUGAAAUAGUGCAGCGCCCGACAUCUGCGUGUGUAUGUGUGUAUGUGUGCGUGUGGGGAGGGGUUGCAGGGAUGUUUGGAAAAGUGGUGGUGGUGGUGGUGGUGGUGGUGGGGGUAAAGUGAGUUUGUCUUUGCCAUUCCCAGGAAUGACCAGAGACACGACGGCACAUAACAAGAGUGAUGGUGGUGAUGGUGGUGGUGGUGGUGGUGGUGGUGGUGGUGGCCGUUCAUGGAGAACGGAGCGAGGCGGGAGGGGAGCUUAUCUGCCCGAGCCCAGCGGAAUGGGUUAGGGGGGAGGGCACGAGCCAGCGACCUCAGCGCGUGCGCCCACUAACGGCGCCGGCCCCGACUCCGCUACAGCUACCGCCGUGCCUCUGUCUGUCGUACACACUCGUACUCACACUGACUUCCAGUUGUCGUACACUUUGGCCACGUCGGCAGGCAGGCCCGUCACGUUGCCCACCAGGCGGUCCAGCCACAGGAUGGGCACGUGCUCGGCGGCGUGGCUGGCAGGGGUGAUGGGGGUGGGGUGUGUGUGGAAGGUGGGAGGGGUGGGGUCAGGUGAGGGAGGGGGCGUCAUUCGCCCGAGCCCAAAGAAACAGGUAGAGGGAGGGAGGGCGCGGGGGUAAUAGAGGUUUUGGGGUGUUGUGAAUACCAGCCCAAACUAGACCAAAACCCACGAAAACGAGGUGAGUGCAGGCAGAGGCGUUAGUUGCAAGCGAUAAUACUGAUGGGAUGUGGGCCGAGGCGAGCUAGCGGCGCGUGUGCGUGUGUGUGUAUGUAAAUGCGCCAGGAGACGAACGGGUUUCGAACGGGCAAGUGCGUAUCUGGUAGUCUGGCGCCCCGUGCGCCAGUGCGGCCCCCACACACACACCUGCGCAGUAGCGACUCGGCGUUUGCGGCCAUGAGGUCCGUGUACGCCACCUGGUGCAGCGUGUCGGAGCCGCCGCCGGGAGGCAGCGGGUCGGCGGCGGGGCCGGACUGCGGGCGCGAGUGUGCGAGUGGGGAGGGGACGUUAACUUUGAACCAAUCCCGUAAGGAAACAGUCGCGGGGAGGGGGGGGGGGACUACACUCAUGAUUAGUGGUAGACGGGUGUGUGGGCACCUGCCGGAGCACGCCGGAGCACCACUGAGAAGACCCGCACCCGAGACUCGCACCCGAGACUCGCACCUGAGAGUGCGGAGGAGGUGCAGCCCGCCAACCCCAACCCCAACCCCAACCCGAACUCCAAACCCAACCCCAACCCCAACCCGAACUCCAACCUUCCCACCUGCCCCACCUUCCCACCGCCCCGCCUCGCUGCCGCCGCACCUGCGCCAGCCUCACGGGUGUGCCCACCCGGACCUCGGCCUCCGCGCCCAUGAGCCCGGCCAGCUCGUGGCGGGUGCGCGCCAGCAGGUGCUGGAACUCCACAGGCAGCAGGCCGCGGCCCAUGUCGAGGCCGUUCAGCCGCUUGUUCACCAGGCACUCUGUUGCAGUGGGGUUCACGGAGCGGGGAGGUGCACGGCACAGGUGUUGGUCACAGGUGUGUACGUGUAUAUACCAGCCCUAACUGGGGAGGGGGGCGAGGUUAGCCAUUCAUGCGAACGGUUCGUAUUGUACAAACCCGCAUCCCGCGCCAGCCCUUCCGGCUACCGGCCCCUCCUCGGCCCCGACCCCCUCCGCCCCCUCACCGGCGAAGCUGAACCCGUUCCACAUGCAGCGCAGGUCGUCCAGACUGUCGCCGUAGGGCAGCACCUGCAGGGAGGGGGGUUACAUGCAUGACUAGUCAAGACGAGAUGAUGUUGACAAGUUGUUGCAGCAGAUCAGUCAGGGGGGGACGGGGGCGCGGGAGUUGCAAGGUAGUGGUGGAGCUAGGGGCUGGCGCUGGGUCAAGCAGACGGCGAGGCGAGUCGGCGAGUCUGGCCUGGCCUGGCAUCGUUCUUUGCAUGGUGCGUCGCGUGGCGUGGCGUGGCGUGUCCACCUAACCCACUCUCCACCUUCCACCGCCCUCGGCCCCCUCGCCUCCGCUCCGCUCCGCUCCGCCCCGCCUCCCGCCCCGCCUGCCGCCCCUCGUCAGCCCUCCUCAUCCCCCUCACCUUGAUGUCAUCGCGGCCCUUGACGGGCUUGGCGUGCUCCUUGAGCUUGGCCACCUGGAGGGCGCGGGCGCGGGGAGGACACCGCGUGGUGAAGGAGCAUGUGACGCGAACAGGCGGGCGCAGGUGAGCGCCAUUGCUUGCAGCAUGCUCCAGCACACACACAGAAACACACAAACCCAAUCACACAAGGACAAACACACGGUCCCAAGCUUUUAAGCACAAUCCCAAACACUGCAACUAAAGUUACUAAGCACUCACCAGGUACUCGGCGGUCUUGUCCAGGCCGCGCUUGACGGCGAUGGGGUUGGCGCCGGCGGUCACGGACUGCAGGCAGGAGGCGGGGGCGGGGGGGGGGGUGUAAAUACCACCAGCCCAAACUACACCAAACCAAGCUAAACUAGGGGGGACCCAGUGCGCGAGGGUGAGCCACGCCGCCACACAGACCAGGUUUAAGGCCACAGCCGAGGCCAGGGCGCGGGGCAUGGGGCCAGCCUUGCGCGCACACGUAUGUGUCCGCUGCUGGUGCUGGUGCUGCAGGGCGGCUGCACGCCAGCGUCUCCCCUGCAGACGCUGCGCGCAUCGCUGCUUCUGCUCCCGCGGCCUCUUGCCGGCUGGUGCGCGCACGCGAAGGCGGACGACGUGAACUGCCACCCCGCCCGAUAGCUGCCUGGCAGCUGGCCGGCCGGCUGGCUGGCUGGCUGGCCGGCUGCGUGCCCAAGGCAAUAGAAUUCAGGGGGCCAGGCCGACCGGGCGUUGGCACUCGGUUGGCUGUCACGCUGCCUCCCGGGCUGCUGGCGCGGCCGCCGCGCGGCGCCCCCCACACGGCCUACGCGCCAGUGCUGCCGCCGCCGCCUCCACCUCGAGCGCCCGGCCCUGCUGCCGCCGCUGCUCCCCACCCCGCCCGUGUGGCAACGCGGCUGCUGCAAUGCCCUCUGCCCUCCCCAGCAGCGCUCAAGGAGCCGCCUGUGUGGGACUCCUCGUUGGCCUGUGUGCCGGGCUGCGUGGCACACAGGCACAGCCAGCCUGUCGCCUGGCCGGCCGAUCCGGCGCCGGCGCUGUUUGUCGCUGUCUCCGCCCCCCGCCCCGGUGCUGCUCACCCCUCAUCCUCGUCCUCGGCUUGCUCACGUCCACGCCGGCUCUUGAACUUCAGACCCUCCGCUGUGGCAGCGCAAGCACCUGCGCGCCCCCGCCCCUCUACCGCGUGUCCCCCUGACCCGCGUUCCCCUUCCCCUCCCCUUUCCCCGACCUCCGCCGCACCUGCAGGCCGUAGUGGAUCAUCUCGCGCGCCAGCACCGAGGCGGUGGUGGUGCCGUCACCCGCGGCGUCGUUGGUGCGGCCGGCCACCUGCAUGCAUGCGGGUUGAGCGAAGGCGGGUUGAGCGAAGGUGCAGUGAGGGCAUAGAGGCGCACCGUUGACCCGGUGUGUGUGUUUGGGCUCGCGGCGUUGCAUGUUGUGGUCCGCGGCGGGGGGUGGCACAUUCACAUAUAUGCUCGCCGUGCGCACAGCUGCUGUUGCUGCAGGGGCCCGGAGACCGGGGGCGUGGCUGCCUGGCUGCCGGGUCGGAGCCCGCGCUGGGGGCCGCACGCGGACCGCCCCAGAGCCCCGCCUGCCGCGUGCUGCCGCGCAUGCCGCUGCCGUGUUACUCCGCCUCACAGCCACAGCGUGAGAUGGCUGAGCUAGGGCAUGGCGCGGACACCACCUGACUGCUCUCUCCAACAACGCCCCGCGGACCUGCAUGCGUUCUUGAAACGCCCCCACGAAACGCCCCCAGAGGGCUCCCCCCAGCCCCCGGUUGAGCUCGUGACGCAUUCCGCUAUCGCCAACUCCAACGCUUGCUGACCUCCUUGAUGAGCUGGGCACCGGCGUUCUCCACGGGGUCCUUCAGCUCGAUAGCGCGAGCAAUGGACACGCCAUCGUUGAUAACCUGGGGCACACCGAACUUCUGCUCCAGCACCACGUUGCGGCCUGUAAAAUACAAGCAUUUCGCGUCAGCUGCACUGCAAACGGACGCGGCCCUAGCGAGAGGGUCGGCGGCGCAUGAUAUGUUCUGGAGCACUCCAGAAGGCCCAAUUACCAGCCUCGCCAAGCCAAUUAUAGCCAGAUCACCUAGCUGUAUCUAAACAUAUCUUACCGCGGGGGCCCAGGGUCACACCGACGGCAUCGGCCACCUUGUUGAUGCCCGCCUGCAGCCUCCGGCGCGACUCCUGGUCGAACACAAUCUCCUUAGCGUCAGCAGCGCGGAUCACCUGUGGAAGAAGCGGGGUGCGGACGCGAAUUGAGCGGACUUGCGGAUAUGGGUCAGCGUGCAAGCCCAGCCGCAACCGUCUCGUGAAGCUUGCUUACCAGGCGGCGCGCAGCGCGGGCCGGCUUGUUCUGGAAGGGACGACCAGUGGUCUGGCGAGAGCCCUGCAAAGAGCGGAGGGCAUGAGCUCAGAGCUGCGACCAAGAAAUGCUGCCGCUUGCGACGCACCUUGGCAAGCUGAGACUGCGCCAUUGCUGCUAGUUUCCGCCGAAAGUUCGACGACUAACUAGGUACGCAAAAGAGAUAGCAAGUCGAGUGAAAGUGGUCAGCGUAGGUGGGGGCACUGAGCUUGACCCUCCGAGCCGAACGCAUGCGCAGAACUUUCGAGGGCUUCCAUGCGCUUCUAGUCCCGUGCCUUCGCGAAACAGGCGUUUCCCCAUAGACUAAUACGCUCUACCAUGCACUUCCAUUUCAUUGAAGCAAUAAAACCCACGGCAUGGUUUCGGAAGUCCAACAUGUUCCUCAGGAUGCUCGGUGGGCCUGCAUCGGCGACGCGCGUGUACCUCUGAGCUGAGGCUGUUGCUUGACUGAAGCAUACCAUGUAGCAGAGCUUUUGCGUAAUCAACCCAUGCAGAAAUGCGCGGCCGUGCGGCCAGCCAUGACACGGGUGCAAGGAAGCGUUCUGCCGUUUGCCCCCAAGGGCCCCCACCACCUUCGAGUGGGAAUGCGUAGUCGUGCGCGCGCCGUUUGGUAAGCUGCGUGUGUGAGCUGCGUGUAAACUUAGAGAGACACACCACCAGAAUGCUCUAAAGAUGCGAGUGCUCAGAUUGCUAGAUUGCUAGGUUGCUAAGGCACACAUCUGACACAUGAGGCUGACCCUGUUACCAUAAGCUGCCUCCGGGCACACACGGUUUCACGCGGUUGACAGUUGGGCUCCAGCGCGGGUGGGACUCGCAGGAGCGCACGACGGGCGCUAGGGGGCACGCACGGGCGGGGCGCACGGGAAACUCGGCGGUAACUCGGCGGUGUCACGGACGCGGCGCGCAAUGGGUCCCGGGGCGUCGUACAUAGCCACGCAGCAUGACGCAACCGAAUCAUUGAAGUAAUGGAGGAUUGGCUAGUGACCAUACGGCAGCUAGCCGGAGCAUUCAUGCAGGUGUGCGCCGGGUGCCGGGGUCGGUGGAUGGUUGCGCUGAGAGCCCGACGUCGUAGCCCAAAAUAAUCUUAACCAGCGGCUGUCACAUGUGAAGGGCCGGUAAGUUCAGCGCAGUGAGAACUGCGGGUCUGACGAGAGACUCCACGCGUCCAAGUCCACCACCCUUCGCCUGCCAGCCCGCCCACCACCACCACCCGUUCCUUACUCCUGCCCCCGACGCACACGCAGGGGAGCGCACUUUUAGCUCAACACAGGGAACUAGUGCAGCAAUGGUUCCCCGACAGCCCAGAAGAACCCCUGCCACCUUACUUGCCGCGCAGCGAGCAGUCGCUGCAGGCUGAUGUGCUGAACAUGAAGGCCUACCUCAUUGUGGACAUGGGCGCAACCGAGGUGGUCAGCGGCUUGGUGCCGGAGCAGCGCUCUACAAGGUCUGCAUCAAGUCGGGCACGUGCACCUGCGGCAACUGUGUGUCGCGCAACAUGCCGUGCAAGCACACUUUCCUGGUGCUGCAGGCGGAGCCCGCCCUGACGUUCACAGGCCUACCCGCAACCUUCGUGCAGCAGCCUCACCUGGUGGUGGACACGGCCGUCACCGGCGGAGCCCUGCCCACGCUUCAGCAGAUCCCUGAGGAGGAACAGGCAGCGGAGGUGGAGGCGCUGGCGCAGCUGCGCGCGGAAGAGCUGGUGCUUGCUCAGGCGGAGAAGCAGCACGGUAGCGGCUGCGCCUGAGAUGAUGGUGAUGAUGAGCAGCCCAUGCCACCAGCCGAGCCUGAGGGAGCUCAGGACGCGGUGGCGGCACAGCAGUCGCAGAGGAGGGUGAUGGCGUGAUGCCGCAGGCGGAAGAGCAGGUUCUUGCCACGACAGUGCGAGACCUACUCAGCGUGCUGUGCAAUGCCACGUUCGAUCUGUCGGGGACGCACCUGACAACGCUCAAACGCGGGCUGGAGGGUCUGCGGGAGCAAAUCCGGCCCGGACUGCAGCCCAGCGGCUUCAAUGCGGCGGAUCCCAACCUGCGGCAAAAGCGGCAGGCGCCAAGUGGGCAGGCGUUCAGGAGCGUGCAGGCAAAAACCAAAGGAAAACGGCACCAGCCUUCCCCGUGCACGUGUCCCUGGGCGCCACCCAGCCCAACACGAAACCACCACCACCACCUGCCCACGGCAAGCCCAACCCAGCUCUCUACACCCUACACCGGUCCGAGUUGGGACCCCUGUUCUUAACCUUGGAGUCACAGCGGCACCAGCUACUAGAUGUUCAACUGCAGCUGCCGCUGCUGGACCUCUCGGUGCUGUCACCGCUCACCCUGGCAACGUUACCGGUCCAACUCCAGGGCAUCGUGCUGACGCUGGCGCCGCAAGGCAGUCCAUUGUGGCACUUAGCCCGCCACGGCCAAGUCACCGCCACUCGCCAGCCCGCUUGGCGCAUACCUCGGCUUUGGCGAGCCCGUAGCCGUGGAGUUGCUCGGGCGCGGCGUGCCUGGAUACAAGACUGGGCGGGAUAAGAUGGAGGAGGUGGUUCGCAGCCUGCAAGGGCAGCAGUGGCGAAGUCAGACGACCCUGCGCUGCAAUGGGGACACCAGCACGACCCCAACUGUCUGUGGACUGUGCUGAACAGUCUCAAAUCUCAUCCCCGGCUUCAAGGACGCUACCACGUGGUUCACCCGAGAGCAGAGCUUCCUGGCGUGCGGCGGCUUGGGUGGCCUGCCGCCCAUGGGAGCCUCACCUGACGGCAUCCUGGAGCCGUGGAGGUGCCUGGGGAGAUACCCGGGCAGAAGAGGCUGGCGUGGCUGCUCCUUGAGUUCAAAAGCCGGUUCCCCUACAACAAGCCAUACGGCGUGGAGAAUGCGGGUGGCGGCGCGGUGUACGAGCACGCACCCUACCGGUGCUUCCCAGCCAUCAUGCAGGUGUGCGCCGAGUGCCGGGGUCGGUGGAUGGUUGCGCUGAGAGCCCGACGUCGUAGCCCGAAAUAAUCGUAACCAGCUGCUGUCACAUGUGAAGGGCCGGUAAGUCACUACGCCCACAAGUGCAGCUGAACAUGCUCGCCGCCACACGGUGCUGUGCCUGCACCUCGAGUACACGGUAAACAAGACCCCGGUGCGGCUUAUCAAUCCGACCCUGCGUGGCUUCGUCUAGUGCUGGGUCUUGGGGCAGAGGCUGGCGCAGAGGCCGGGGUUGCGGCCGGGGCUGGCGGCGGGGUGGCGGGUGGGCGUGGGGGUGGUCGGUGCGCUGUGCCGGUCAUGGUACCAGCGGGGAGAAGCACUGCCAGCUGGAUUCAGCAGCUCCAUCGGCGAGGCGUAAAAGCUGCUGCUAGAGGCCACAAAAGCCGGCUGCAUGCGCGCGGAGGUCAUUACGGUGCAGGGAGGCGAUGCAGGGAGGCGAUAAGCGAAUGUUUAUCUAGAACAUGUUUAUUAUUUGAAGCGCUUAGAUUAGGUAUCGGCGUUCUUGGCAGAGUUGGGGACUCGGUGACUCGGGGGAAGCGUUUGACUCAAAGACGACAGGUGCCACAACACCCUGGAUACAUUAGUCGCCCCGCUUGGGUUUGCUGUAAGCAGUGUAGACUGCGCUACCAAGUACCAAGCCUCGCUGCACGCACUGUCCAAAGUUUCACAGACUGAGGCUCAGACGCCCUGCCACAGCUUCCUAGUACUGCAUCAUGGCUAAUAAACGACGAGAGGGCCAGUUGAGUAGGAGUUUAGCAGCAGUGGCACGCGAAAUUAAGGAGGUUUCAGCGGCCGUGAAAGACGUGGAGGGCCAAAUAAUUGCCGUAGAGGAUAAAAUCUCUGAGGUAGACUCGAAGCUUGACUCAAUCGAUGUCGAGCUCCAACGCCCGAAGCUUGGCAAGGACGCCAAGCUCCGGUUGCUGACGAAGGAGGAGGAUCUGCGGAGAGACAAGGAGUGGCUGCGGACGAAGGAGGAGCUGCUGUGGAGGGAGGAGGAGCUGCUGCGGACGAAGGAGGAGCAGCUGCGGAUGGAGCUGCUGCUGCUAAAGAAGGAGCAGGAUCUGCGCGCCGAGGCGCGGGCGACCGUGUCAAGUGCGCAGGGCAUGGUGUCACGCCUUCCCGUGUGCUGAUGUAACCCGCACGUGCCCCGCUAGUUGUGACAGUCUGCCUAGGUCCCUUGCUCCGCGGACCAGCAGAACAGGCGGUCGACGGACAAAACGUGCUCUUGCGAAAGUUGUGCUUCUUAGCGCAGCAUGGCGGCACAAUUUGCACGGGGGGAGGGGGCGCGUGACGGUUGCAUGUUGUGCUUGCUUGGCCGCAGGCUCAGUCUCGUACCUGCAGCGCGUGUUACUCAUGGAGGCGCCGUCCAAGACCAACAUGAAGCGGGAGCAGCUAGACAAGGCUGGGGGCCCACUCAUCAACAACUGGCGCCCCACGCAGGAAGCAGCUGGCGGGUUGCUGCCAGCGCUUGCGCAUCUCACGUUUGGGGAGGUGGCUGAGCUCCUUGCCAGCGACGCUGCAGUGGACCAGGACGCCGUCAACGUGGCCGGUCAGCUGUGCUGCAUUUGCGCGGAGAUCUACGACAACGAGGUGAGAUCCGUGCACGCACGCGUGGUCGUAUCUAGAUCAGCAUGUGUGCGGGGAGUUGAACGUUCCAGCCGUGUGGUGACCUUGCAACAUCUUGCACGAUACCCAGACUGCGCAGGCCCAGCUAACCAAACACGUCCGAGGCCUGCUGCUGCCCUACCUGACGGGCCCGGAGGUGGUGCAGAUCACGUCCGGCUUUGCUGGCAAGGACGUGAGCCCCGACUGGGCGCUGGGUGACCGCGCCAACGACCCCCAAAACCUGUUCCUGAUUGGGGAGGUAGGUUCACCGCGCGGCACAUGUCGGCUCGUUGAACACGCACCGCCCCGCCUUUGUCCCUGACGCGCUGUUUAUGUGCUGGCCUGGCCGGGCCGUCCCUGUCAGCACGUGGCACUCAUAUGUGAUACCCCACCCGCUCUCACAACUGACGUACAUUGGCCACGUAGCUUUUGUUGCCUGAGCCCGGCUUGGUUCAUAGUACACCUCUGGCAUGUAUGCCUGCCUGCUGACAGUUCAGGCCAGGCAUUGGCGGCUCGGGAGACUUGCAUUUCCAGGGCGCCAACUAUCACCUGCACUUCUGGCGGCGGCGCACAGCCUCCAACAUCUUCAAGGACACUCGCUGCCCUGCCUUCUUCCUUGAGGUUGGUCGUGUAUGCAUGGACAUUCAGUGUGCCGUCUGAUGUUGGUUUCUCUGUCAAGUGAACGGCAGCGGACUCAAAAGGACCUGAGCAGCACGGCUGGUGUGGGUGCACUCCAAAUUGUUUGAUUGGACUGAACCUGGGCAGCACUAGUCAACUUGUCUUGUGCUGCGUGCACUUGGGCUGCCCGUGUGCAGGUGGUCGGCCCGCACGUGCGGCUGUCUGCGGUCGCGUGGCUGGACCGCGUGACUAUCUUCCCGCUGACGCCGCUGCUCAACCUGCUGCCCGCGCACCCCGUGACCAAAAGCCUGCUGAUGCCGGUGAGCCCGUGCAACCUGCAGGGCGUAAGACGAAUAGGGGCUUUGCAAGGUCUGGAUGUGGCCCUCCGUUCGUAUCAAGUCGAUGGGGUGUUGAUGCAUGUGUGUUCGUCUGUGCUGUCCGCCUGAUCGCUCAUCCCCUUGGCGUGCGGCCCAUUCCAGGUGGCACGCAUGCUGGCUGCGCUGCGCGUUGGGCUGCGCAAGCUAGCUCAGGCCCACGCCGCCAUGCCAGUGCACACGGCGGAUGAGCCUGACCAGGUGGCGCAAGCAGGACCGGGGCAGGCGGGAGCCCAGGAGACGAGAGAAGCAGAGGCGGACGCCGCAGAGCCGAGGGCGGAGGACGCCGUGGCGAAGGCGGAGGACGUGCAGCGUUCCGCGUGUACGGACGUGUUCAAGCUGCCGUGGCCCAUCGCCAUGGACGCCCGUUACGAUGCCGAGACGGCGCGUCUGCUGGCCAAUCACACGUACUACGUGGACCUGGCUGGCAUUGAUGAAAGUGUGGUUGUGAAGCUGUGCGAGAGCUACGGCCUGGAAGCCCAUCAGGAGUGGGCGGACCUGGGCCUCGCACCCAAGGUAUGUGUACGCAUGCCUGUUCAUGUGUCGUCUGUUUCGUGCGUCCCCUCUCAUGCGCCCUACCCUUUGCGUGGCCUGGCAUGGCGCGUGUAACGCGUUCGUUUUCUGCGUAGUCAAUCGCCUGAAGCGUUUCGAGGGUUCCUGCUGAGCAUUAGACCUGGCGGCCAGUAGUUCCGUGCACUUGCCUACGGUUGAACACCUGUGUCGCCAAUGCUUGCGGCCAACCUGAGUAUGUUGCACCCUGGCGCCCCAACGCCUGCUCAACUCCUUGCAGAUCCUGCGCUCAACAACGCUGCCUGGUGGUUGGCUGCUGGUGGAGAUGGAGUGGCUGCCCGCGCCAGAGUGGCGGCCGCUGUCGGGGCUGUCGGAGAAGGAGCUGCGCAAGGCGGAGCGUGCAGUGCAACAGGCGCUGGAGCGCGCGCACAUCGCAACGAACAUGGUGCACGGCGACGCACGGCCUCCAAACUGCCUGGUGCGGCGUGGCAAGGGGGCCGGCUCCUGGGAGGUACGGUUCGUGGACUUUGAGUGGGCGGGGCCGGAGGGCGAGGCCACCUACCCCGUGUGCCUGAACACGGAUAUCCCGUGGCCUGAGGGCGUGCGCUACGGCAAGCCGCUGCAGCAGGAGCACGACAUCCAGCUGCUGGCAGCAACGCUGGCAGCCCGCCGCGCCACCGCUGCGCCCUCCACGACCACCCGCGCCACUGCGGGCAGACGGCGCGGGACCCGGGGCCCUGGCGCAGCACAGUCGCUGCACACGGCAGCCAAUUAUCGCUCAGCAGUGCCGCCAGGCGCUGCAGCGGUCUCUGCUGGGCACCGAAUCGUCCGCGUGAGCUGGCGGCAGCGGGGCGCCAUCAGCUGGACGCGGACUGCUGCCCCAGGCAGGCCGCUGGUGUGGUGAGCGGUAUGCAGCAAUGAUUGGUAUCGCGAUUAUAUGUAUGAUUGGGGAGUAUGCGUCAUCUCAUCGGCCGUUUGGAUUGAAUGGCAGGCUGACGAUCUGCGUUUGCAUGCGCGUUGUCAGCGGCAGCAGAGCGUAUGAGGAACGAUACAGGAGCAGUAGCAGAUUUAUGGAAUGCGAUUGUGCGCGUGUGGGUGGGUGUGUGGGUAUGGUUGGGGGGGGGCCAGAGUGCACAUGGCUGAGUGGAUGGGCGUCGGAUAUAUAUGGUGCGGCAACGCGCCCCAGCAUAGACCCAUGGACCCGCCCCACACCCAUGCGUGGGCAGUCAUACAUGAUGGGUGUGCUUGGUGUGACACCGAUUAUUGACGAGUGUUGCGGAACUAAUGCGUACGUAGACCAGAGCGGAAGGCGGAGUGGGCUUGCAGGCGGCACGAGAGUAGGCAGUCAGUAGCGCAAGUUGCGAAUUCACAUGUUACCUCGUAUCCGACGGUAAACGCUGUGGACUGUCGUGCCCAUGGCUGGCUGACGGAAGGUGGCUGCUGUAUUGGGAUGGCUGGGCUGGACGACGGCGACGAUUCUACCACUGUUGCGGCUCGAGGUGUUAAGUGUGGCGCCGCCCUCGUAGCGCCGGUACCCAGGAUGAGCAUGCGCUUUGUGAUGGCUGGACGCCGACAGAAAGAUGGCACAUCGCCUGCAAGGUCUUGAGGCGUGGUUCAGUGGUUGAAGCUGCAGACGCUCAGACGAGUAUACGACGCGGGGGCCAGGCACAUCGUCUGUGCUUGUCGGUACACACGUGCGGCGCCCAUUAUGCACACGGUGCGCGACGGUGCAGAACGGGUUGGAUCCGAGGGCAUGGGCAGCAGCGGCGUACAGUAGCCGGUUGCCACACAUGCAGCGACGGGGUGGCUGUGCGGGGCUCCGUCGGAAUAUGUGAGGUAGAGACUUGGGGGCUUCGGGACCAUGGACCAGGAGGACGCCGCAGCUGAACGCCAGGCCAUCAAUGCCGUACGCACCCGGCGAAAGCCGGAGGGGGGUAGCCAUCCAUGGGAUGGUGUGUAUCAAGUAUGAAGUGAAGUGCCGACGUCCAGAGGUACAGCGGGCACACGCGACGCAUUCCAUACCGUUGUUUCGCCAGCGGCAGGCUGCUGGUUCCCCCGUGUUUCCGUGGCGGCUAACGCUAAAAUACUAAGGGGGGGGAGGCGGUCCAGUUGGUGGUGGCAGUGCCCGCACAAUGCUGCAGGCGCAUGCACAAUCUCCAAAGCGCACAGGGGCACAGCGGAUGAAGAAGUGGCGACAGCGAUGGCCACGGACUGCAUAGCUUCGGCUGCCUUCGGGCAACUUCGAAUCCAUACGUCAAGACGCAGGCGGUUACGGCAGAGAAACAGAAAGCGGAAACAGGCAGCGGAAGGGAGGCGGCUUCUCUGAGAAGCGGGAAGCCUUCUGUGAAGAGGUCAGCUGAGACGCGCAUAAAGCAAUGUCAGCAUCGGCAGAAUCAAGUUACGGCGUGCCAAACACACCAGCUGUCGCGGCAGUUCACCCAGACGCGCCAAAACCUUCCAAGCGCGUGUUAUCUAGCGCUAUGUAACGCGCAUAUCUGAAAGUCAGCGACGGGGAGCGAGAGCCAUGACGCGCCGAUUGAAUCGAUCGCGCACUUGAAGGGCGCAAACUUCCAUUGGAGCUGAGUUUCCCUCAGCACACACUACACCGCAGUAGCUUAGUCCUUACUUAUUUGCCAACCCUUAGCUUCCGAGACUCGAAACCACGUUCCUAGCUGUUCCUCCAGACUUUCGGCCGACUGCCCUCGCUUACUCGAGCUCCGCUAACCUCCUGCCCAGCUAGCGUUAUUUUCUUCCCGGCCAUGAAGUGAUGAGUUCCUCCUCCUGUGACGAGGCGACAUCCAAAACGGGACUGAAGAGGAGCCUCGCAGGCGCGUUCAACGAGGUCGCUAGCAAGAAACAGCACUUUAUUAUGGCUCAGGCGAUGUCAGGACCCUCCCAGGCGGCAGCGCUGCUGGAGGUGCUGCGGACUGGCCUUGCCCCGCCUUCUUACGCCCCGCCAGACAAGGCGUCUUUGCGCAAGGCCAGCCAUGCUCUGGCCGAACUUUGCAAGCAAGAUGAAUUUAUUGAUGACGUGGUAGCCGCGGGAGCUAUCGAGGUGGUCGUGCCGCUGCUGAAUGCGGGGUCGUCUUCCGCGCGGGAGCAGCUGGUGGAUGACGCCGCUGGCACUUCGGGUGUUUCUCUACAAGAGGAGCUUGACAAGGAGCUGUGCUUCAUCCUGGGCCUGCUGGCGGUGAAGCCCGAGUACCAAACCCGCAUUGCUCACUCCGGCGCGCUCAGCGGGCUUGUGCGCCUCCUAAAGGAGCACAAGCUUACGUCCAUUACGAAACCACAGCCUGGAAGCGGGGGCGUGGCGCGGCGUGCAGCGGACGCUAUCACGAACUUGGCGCACGAGAACGUGGAUAUCAAGAACAUGGUCCGCGAGCAGGACGGCAUUCCGCCGCUCGUGGGCCUGUUGGAGGCCAUGGACGUUAAGGUGCAGCGGGCCGCAUGCGGGUGAGUUGCUGCGAGCUGGAGGGCGCAGGCCGACAGCCGCGUGGGUUGCGACGUCGGAGGCUUCGGAGCAGGCACUUCCCUCCAACAGCCACGCGCGGGCGCAUAAGGCCCACGGUUUUCCCAGUGCCCAUAUGGCGGCUGCGCUGGUUGACGCCUACAGCAGGCAGUCUAGCAGCCACAUGGGUUGCUGGCCCGGGGCUGUGUCGUGGGGAUUAGGCUGGAGUAACGGCGGGGUGCGGCGGUAAUCUGGGAGGGCGAGCACGGUACGGGAUCCGCAGCGGUCAGCAGCCACAUGCAGCCACCCGUGCCAGCCGCAGCCGCAUUUGGGGUCUGAAGCGCUGCAGGCGCCGGCGUGCCGGGCACCCAGCACACCCGGGGCUGGGUUCCCAUCCGACCCCGCACCUGCACGUAUGUCGUCAACACAGUAAGAGGUUCAAUCAUAUCCCGGCCGCAUGCCCUUGCCCCUGCCUCCCACCCUUCCUUUUACGGCCGCUGCCUCCCACCCCUUCCCCCGCCCCUCCGCCCACUGCUCCCCCUGCUGCUGCCGCUGCCUCCCACCGCUGCCUCCCACCGUUGCCUCCUAGGGCCCUGCGCACGCUGGCCUUCAAAAAUGAGCCCAACAAGAACGUCAUAGUGGAGCAGGGCGCGCUGCCCACUCUCAUUCAGGUGCGGCCGGGGGCGGCGAUGGGAGGGGGCGGGGGUGAGCGGGCGGGUUUGAGCCGGUGCGGGCUGAUGCGCGCAGGCGCAAGCGCGGGUGUGGGUUGGUGCCGGGGAAGCGGUCGGAGAAAAGCGAUCGAAGGAAAGGAGUAGCAGGAAAAGGGUCGGGUGCGGCACACAGGGCAGGCCACAGUGGGCACAGCGGCUAUGAUGUGUGGGGCGGCCAGCGCCCUCGCCGCCAUGUGACGGCCCCGCUACCCCGCCAGCGCCCUGCCUCACUCCCGCCCUUCCAUGCCCCUCCCUCCCCGCUGCUCCUCUGCCGCUCCGCCUCUGCUGCUCGCCUCCUCCCCUGCCCUCCCCUCCUCCCCACCCAAGCAGCUCCUGCGCUCCGAGGACAGCGGCGUGCACUACGAGGCGGUGGGGGUGCUGGGCAACCUGGUGCACAGCAGCCAGCACGUCAAGCUGAGGGUGAGGGGGGCAAGGGGGCGGGAUGCAGGGGGCUGUAGAUACCAGCCCAAACUAAACCGAGGGGGAAGGGGGUGUUACAUUCAUGAUCAGGUAAGGAAGUGGUGAACGGGAGAGACCUUGGGGUGCGGUUGUGGCCACCAUGCCCACUAAGAAAUUAGAGACAUGAGAAUGCGUGAUCAGGCAAGGGAGGGCUGGAGAGGGCGGGGGUGGCAUGGGCAGAAAGACGGGCAGGCGGGCGGGAAGGGGCGUGGAAGGGCUGGGGAUUGGAGGGGAGGGUGCGGGGCGGGGUGGAAGGUGGCAAGGGGGCGUGUGCAUGGCCUGCAACUUGCAGCCGUGUGUUGGUGUCCCGGUGGCUCUAGCAAGGCGGCGGCGUAACGUCAACGCACGCAGCAACACAAAGCCGAGGGCAGGUGGAGCGGUCAAUGGAGCGCAACAACCCGCCAUGGGGGCCUGGCGCGAUCCACAGGCGCCGUCGGGCGCGUUGAGGGAUGGGAGGGUUGGAGGGGAUAGGGGCAUGCAUGCAUUCUGACAGUCAUAGCGUCCACGUAGCAGCAUGAAGGUGUGCCGUUGGGUUCAUCCCGGAUGGCGCCGGGCGUUGUCCCCACCCCCGACAUGGACACAUCCCUUUCCCGCCCAAUGCAUCCCCCUGACCACGGCACCACGCCUCCACCUCCCCGCCACCACCCCACCCACCGCCGCCCCCACCUGCACCGCCCCUAAACCCCGUCCCGGCCCUCCCGCCCCCGCUCACGGACAUCGGUAACGACGACGUGACAUCUGUACCAUUGCUUCUGGCUACGCCCUCUUGUCUUAUUUAACAUGCAUGGAACCCCUCCCAUCGGUAACAACGCGUCUACUAUGCUACUGUACCUGCCUACGCCUUCACUUCUUAAUUGAUCAUGAAUGUAACCCCCCACCUCGCCUCAGGUGCUGGAGGAGGGCGCGCUGCAGCCUGUGAUCAACCUGCUCAACAGCGACUGCCCUGACAGCCAGCGGGAGAGCGCGCUGCUGCUGGGGCAGUUCGCGACGGCGGACACAGACACCAAGGUGACUAGGGGGGAGGGGGCGAGGGGGCGACUGGGGGAGACUGGGGGAGGGGGCCACGGGAGGGGGCGGGGGGCUGCGGCGUGGAGGGGGGGGCGUAGGGAGAGAGGUGAGCCCUCGCCCACGCCAGGUGGUUUGGACAGGUCGGACGGGUGUCGCACAAGUGAGAGACGUGGGUUGGCACGGUACAGGGGCCACACACCCACACACCGCCUCUCGCUCACACACCCUGCCCCCACCUCCCCUCCCAACACCCGCAACAGGCCAAGAUCGUGCAGCGCGGCGCGGUGCCGGCGCUGGUGCGUAUGCUGGGCAUGCCGGACGUGUCGCUCAAGGAGAUGGCGGCCUUUGCGCUGGGGCGGCUGGCGCAGAACGUGGACAACCAGGUGGGUGGGUAUGUGCGUGUGUGUGUGUGUGUGGGGGGGGGGUUGUAGAUACCAGCCCAAACUAAACCAAACCCAAUGCAAUAGAGCGAGGAGGAGAGCGUGGUCGAUGCUUGACAACGGAGUGGCACGCGACAAUAGUCCCCAUUCCCGAAAUUGGGGGGGGGUUACAUUCAUGAUUAGUUAAGGAAGUGGUAGACGGUAGGUGUGGGGGGGCCGUUGAGGUUGUGGUGCGGCUGGGUGUUUGGGUGGGUUUGCGGGUGGGAGGGCAACGAAAGCACAUGAUAUGUGUGUGUGGGUUGCCACGCCGCGGGCUCAAGCGUGCGCGUUGCGGAGUGUGAGGAAGUUGCGGGUGUGUAGGAGGUGAACGGGUGUGCCUCCCACCCUCUCCGAUUGUAACGCCCCCUAUCACAGGCCGGCAUCGUGCAGCUGGGCGGGCUGCCGCCGCUGCUGGAGCUGCUCGAGUCCAAGCACUACAACCUGCAGCACAACGCCGCAUUCGCGCUGUACGGUAAGAGCGGGGCUGGGCGGGCGGGCGGGCGCGUUGAGUGUGGGCGUGUUGGUUGUGGAGGGUGGGGACAGGGAGACAGGGAGACCGGGCAAGGGGCACAACGCACUGGACGUUUGAACUACAAAUGUGUGCGCGGCCACCCCCUCGUCGACCCCCUCCCUGUGAUGUAUUCGGUUCCCGGUCUUGCUGGAUGGGCAUGCUUCCCUUCCAUCCCCCUUACCCUUUGGUUCGGUUUAGUUUAAUUUGGGCUGGUACCUGCAACCCCCUCCACCCUCUUCAGGCCUGGCUGAGAACGAGGACAACAUCCCCGACCUCAUCCGCGAGGGCGCCCUGCAGCGGCUGGAGGACUGCAAGGAGAAGCUGCAGGUGCAGGUGAGGUGGGCCGCCAGGAGGGGGAGGGGGAAGUGGGGGUAGGGGCUGGGGGUAGCUCCACCAAUCCCGAAAGGAAACGGUAGGGGAGUGGGGGAAGGGGCUUGGGGGGGGGGGUUGCAGCUGGGGGCUUGGGUUGGGGACUGGGGUGGGCAGGAGGGGGUUAUAGCCGCCUCUAAAAGAUGGGAGUGACAGUCCGCAACCACACCGCUCCUCUGCUCGCCCCGUCCCCGGCCCCUUCCCCGCAGGCCUCCAAGGACUGUGUGCAGAAGACCAUCAACCGCCUGGAGCAGGUGGGCGCGCGUGUGUGUGUGGGGGGGGGCGUGUGCGUGGGACGGGGGCGUGUGUGCUUGGGCCUGUGUGUGUGCCUGUGUUUGGCGGGAGGGGGGAGGCGUGUGUUAGUGUGCCGAUGUAGCUGUGUUACACCAACACGGCCGCCCUAUCCGCUUAUCCCCACUUGCGGUCCUCGUGCUCUCUGGCGAUAAUGCCACCCUUGCCAUCUACAACCCUCAACCCACGACCCAAAUCUCAAGCAUCACCUCCUCCCACCUCCAUCCCCAACCCACUCGCGCGUUUUCGUUGCUUUUGGUGGGCUGGUACUUACAACCCCCACCUCACCUCCACCACAGAAGCUCAAGCCCGACAACCCUCAGCCCGCCAACCUGGCCGCCGCCAAGCGCGCGCUGACGUCCAUGGUGUUCCUCCUCCGCAGCAGCACCAAGUGCGUGCAGCAGCGGGCCGCCAUGAGCCUGGCGCGGCUGGCGCCCGAGGAGCAGCUCAAGGUGUGUUUGUGUGUGGGGAGGGUUGCAAGGAUGGUUGGGAAAGCGGAACAGGAUGCGCUGACGACUGCAGACGAAGUCGUUACCAAAUGAGCGGCCGGGGGGAAGGGAGAAGGAGGGAAGGGGAGGGGAAGAAUGGGAUGUUUAGAACCAAACCCGGAGCCAAAGCGAAAGUUCGCUGGGCUGGAAUGGGGAGGAGCGGAGGGGAGAAGGGGGAGGGGGAGGGAGUGGGCGAGUGGGGUUAGGGUGCGGGGUAGGGGCACUGGGUUAAGGCGAACAGGUGACAUUCCUCGCUCCCACCACCACCACUGUCACCCACACGGCCCCCCGCCUCUCGCCCCCCAUCCAGUCCAUCUUCAUCGACAAGCGCGGUAUUGACGUGCUGUUGGACAUGCUCAUGGACCCCGCCGUCAGCCACCGCAGCCACAGGGAGGCGGCGGCGGCGCUGCUGCAGGUGCGGGGCAGCAGUGUGUGUGUGUGUGUGACGUGGGCGGGAGUGGGUGUGUGAAAGUGUGGGUGUGUGUUUGCGUUGGCGGGGGCGGGGCCAGCCGUCCAUGAACGACUCAGUGAUUUACCAGUCAAAAGUGCUGGGCGGGGGGUUGAGGGUGGGGUUGCACGGAAGGGGCGGGACCUGCAGCUGCUGCUCGCGAUGGGUGUGUUUCACUGCUCGGCCGUCCUCCUGGUUGCGCAGCCCCAGCCCACACCCGCCCCAGCAUGUGCCCACUGCCCCAACGCCCCAACGGCUACACUGCCACUAGCUGCCCCGCACCUCCCCACGCUGUGGCCGCUAGCACACAAUCACAAUGACACACACACACGCCCGUACGCAGCUGACCAAGAAGCUGGACGCGCACCUGCCCGUGGUGGACCAGCUGCCGCAGGUGUGUGUGUAUGUGGCGGGGGGGCGGGGGGGGGGGGGGGCGGGGUGGGAGAGACGUGUGAGGGAGGGGGAGAGCGGGGUGCUAUCAGGGGGUUUCGCCACACGCGUCAGCGCACCCUGCCGCCUGCUCGCGAACUCCUAGCCCUUGCGCCAUCACCGCUUCACCGCUUCCACCCUCGCACCCUCCCUCCCCCUCCCCCCUCAGCAACCCGGCCGCACGGAGCGCUCCGUGUACCUAGGCAGCGAGUACGUGAACAACCCCACGCUGGCCGACAUCAGCUUCCUGGUGGAGGGCCGCCGCUUCUACGCGCACCGCAUUGCGCUGCUGGCCAGCUCGGAGGCGUUCAGGGCCAUGUUCAGCGGAGGGUACAGGGUGAGUGAGGGCUAAGCGGGGGGAGGGGAGGGGAGGGGAAAUUGCACAUUCAUGACUAGUCAGGUGGUAGACGGUGGACCAUCUUGGGGAGCAGCAAUCGCUACCGACAUUGUCGACCAGCUCCCGCGGCUGAGGGGAGGGGACGGGAGGGGAGGGGAGAAAGGAUGAAGGCGCAAUCCAGGCGACUCACGGGCGGGAUAAGGGCGAGGAGGGGUGAGUGGGUGGGUGGCGUGAGGUGCUGGGGGCGCAGGGGGUCGUGGCUGUGGGGCCAACCUCUUCGUCGACCGUCGCUUGCAGUGCCGUGACGAAAUCGCUCGCCUUACCAUCCUCCCGUCACGGCCCUCACAUCCCACCUUAUUUGGUCAAGACUUCGCCUGCAGUCUGCAGUGCAUCCUGUACCGCUUUUCCACCCAUCCUUGCAGCCCCUCCAUAACCCCUACCCCUCCACUACCCGCCACUACCCGCCACACACCCCCAGGAGAAGGACGCGGACUGUGUGGACAUCCCCAACAUCACCUGGGCGGUGUUCGAGGCCAUGAUGCGCUUCGUGUACACGGGACAGCUGGACGUGACGCCGGACAUCGCCUUCGAGCUGCUGCAGGUGGGCGGGGUAGAGGUGGGGCGGGGGGUUGUAAAUUCCAGCCCAAACUAAACCGAACCAAGGUGAAACGAGCGGAGCACAGGUAGAGGCAUUAGUUGCGAGUGAUAAUAGGGGGGAGUUUGUGUGCCCGGGCCCAAUGAAGAAGGGGGGGACCUGCGGCCGGCAGGGGAGGGGGAUGGAGAUUGGUUGAGGUGGGGGCUGGCCGGCUGUGAAACCAUCUAACAUGAACCCCAAAUCCGAUCCCUCCCUUGGUUCGUGUGGGACCCUCACUCGCCCCUCACCCCCCCCCCCACCUUUACCCUCAUUCCCCGCCCCUCAGGCCUCCGACCAGUACCUGCUUGAGGGGCUGAAGCGGCUGUGUGAGAACGCCAUCGCGGGCAGCCUCACAGCCGACAACGUGCUGGCCACACACGAGUACAGCGAGCAGUUCUCGGCGCCCGCGCUGGGGAGGCGCUGCCUGCUGUUCGUGCUGGGUGGGUGGGGUGGGUUGGCGGGGUGGGGCAAGGGGUGGCUGCUAUACAAAGGCGUGGUUUCCAGGGCGACCCCACGCCGCUUCCUCCGCGCUGACUGCCCGCGCCACGACCCCCUAGCACAUUUUGCGCCGCUCACAUCCUGCUCCCCCUGCCUCUCCCCUUCAAGCUUGUGAUUUAGUUGCUCCGUUCCCCUUGGAUGGCUGCUCCCCCCCUCCCCCAGUGUGCCUUCGCUUCUUACUGAACCAUGACUGGCAUCCCCCUCCCCCAUCCCCCAACCUCCCCCAGAGCACUACGACGACGUGUUCAAGCAGUACGACACGCCCAAGGACCGCCCCGCCUACUUCGAGGCGCUGCGCCGCAUGGUGCCCUGCCUCAAGGACUCGCUCUACAGCAGCAGCGGCGGGCCCAUAUGGGACAGCGGCGUCGCGGCGGCGGCGGCAGCAGCAGCGGCGGCGGCGGCGGCAGCUGGGUCGUCUGGGGCGGGGCUGGACGGUGCACCAGGCUCGGGAGGCGGCGCGGGGCCGGGGUUGCCGCCGGCAGAGCCUGCGCGGCCGGGCAGCCGGGCCGGUGGCGCGCCGCCCGGGAUCUAAGCCGUGUCGGGGAGGGUGUGUGUGUGUGUGUGUGUGAAAUGAGGUGUUGGGGCAGAUGCAGGAGUCGUGGACAGAUAGCUGUUUGUGUGUGUGUGUGUGUGUGUGUGUGUUUCUGGUAUAGGGCAGUGCAGGUGGUGCAUGCUGCAGGGCUAUAUGCGGUGCUGAUGGUGCUGGUGGUGCUGGUGGUGCUGGCGGCGGCACCGCAGCCCAAUCGGGUUGAGGCAGCAGUCAGCGGCUUGAGUCGGGACCGGGGGACAAGGGAGCUCUCUGGGGGGGGGGGGGAAGCGGCCUCAUCAUCAUGGCGGCAACAGGCAUGCGUCCACACGCGCAUUCUCACUCAUUUGUUUGCUUUCCAUCCAUUACUGAUGCACGAAAAUGAUGGUAUUCCUCUUUGUGUGUGGUGUGCGAGUAAGCUAGUGCGUGCUGGGGCGGCUGCGGGAGCUCCGGGGUUGCCUGCUGCCCGAUACCGCGGGGCAGUCAGCAACAGCCAUCUAUCUAAAGCCAACGUGAUGGCAGGGAUGGCAGUUGCAAGGGGUUUUGUGGACGGUAGGAUGACUGGGGCACAGGGGCACUGGGGCUGACAAGGACGAAUGCAUACGGUACACAAGAGCUGUGAUUGGCUCUGUGGGGACGAGUCUGGGCUGGAGGGGUCCGGGGUCCAGUGUAGGGCGGCGCCCUGAGGGCCUCGCAGUGGAUUAGUAUCAAUGUCCGCAUGGUGAAAUAUGAUAAGUGACGAGGCGUGGCGUGACGGGUGUGGUUGAAGAGACUGCGCAGGAUUGGCGGUGCAGCGCGGGGAAUGCAGGCAGAGCCGAGGCGGUGGGUGCGGUGUGAGCAGGGCCAGUGUGCGGCUUGCGGUGCCGGUGUAGGUGCGGUGCCGGUAUAGGUGCGGUGCCGGUGUAGGUGCUGCGAUGGGUCUUGAGGCGCUGGGGUGGAAGGAACCUGCAGGUUGCGUCAUCGUCUUGUAAUGGUGCACGGAAGGACGUGCAGGCCCAUAAGCCACAAGACUUCACCCUAUGCCUCGAAUCCGUGUGCGAAGUCGGAAUCUACUCCUCCCCUGGGGUACGAUGACGCCCAGAUUCCGUUGCCUGCCGGGGCACAUUCGUGCUCUCGCGGGGGAAGGGGGGCGCACCGCCGCACUGCAAGUGACGCCACGCCAUACGGUAUGCAGGAUUCCUUGAGCAGUCCGGCGGCGCGUCGGGGAUUAGUAGACGUCUGGUGUCGUGACAGACACGUCCCGUGGCAUGCGUGGCACCAGGAACACAGGACCCCCCCCCUGCAUGGCACAGUUGGCGCCACACCCCGCGUGCCAUGUCCCCCCCGAGGCCACGACUCGACGAGGGCUCUCACCCAGACGACGCAUCGCCCUGGUGUCCGGCUGCUCGGCCGGUCUGCCCCACAUCAGCGGCUGGGCCGGCCUGCAAAUCCUGCAUCCUAGCUGGCACUUGGCAGCCUGGUGCGGCUGUCAGCAGCGGGAGAGCGGGGACGGAUGAACCACUGGGGCGGGAGCGGCGCGGGGCGGCGCGGCCUGAGCUCUCAGCACCGUAGGGGCAGCCGCGAGCUGGGGAAUCCAUGGAAACUGUGCCCUAAGCCGCCCUGCCGCCUCUCCCAUACCUGCUGCCGACCUGACGCCACACCUGCACCUGACAAGCACGCACCAGUUCAUGCCACAACCAGCCGCAGCCGACCGCAGCUGCCAAGCACGGCCGACCAUGUCAAACUGGAGACACGUGGCACGGCCCGCUUGAUGCAUACUGCACGACAGCACGGCUUCAUCCGGGGUAUACGUGCGCUCGCAGCUGCCGCUAACCUUCAUGACUGGAUCGCCUCUGCCUGGUUGGUGGUGGUUGCAGCACACAGUGACUAGACAUGGCAGAAGUCAGCUGACAACGCUGUACUGUAGCCGUCGAUAGGCCUGACCAAGUCACCGCCAAACAGAAGCUGUAACAGGCAGGGGAGUCGGGGGGAGCUCACGAGCCUCCCUUAGUCUGCCUUAGUCAAGUGCCAGGGCUGAGGGAGUGAGGGGGCACGGCGUACCGCAUGCAGCAGAGGGGACCGCCGCAUGAGGAGAGCAUAGGCAGGGAGGGGGGCCUACGUCGGGGGGCGCUCGACGCCUUGCAGUCGGGCAAGGGCCGAUCGGGCGGGCAUGGCGUCGUGAAACAACACGGCCAUCGAUGCAGAAGGCUACCCGAUCUGUUAUUCAAGACUUGUUUAUUAUAUUGGCAUAGCGACACCUCCUCGAACUGGUAUACGCUCGCUCUUCUCUCCUGGUCGAAUACCCGAGACCAUAAUGCCUUGACCCCACCAGCAGGGCAGCUCGAUAUAAUCAGGCCCGCCUACGAUGGGGGCCUUAUGUUCUUCAGAAGCACCUCGCGAUGACAAAGUAGCCGGAAACCACAACCAUGUGGGUGCAUCGGUCCAGUCUGCCGAGGACGUGCAGGCUUUGAAGAGCCAGCUUCAGCAGUUGCAGGAGCGAAAUUUAGUGCUAGCAAGGGAGCUUGCAGCACAAACGGCGGCAGCCAAGGACGCGGCGCGCUCAAAUGCGGAGCUCCAGUCAAGCAACGAAAAGCUUCGUCAUGCGCAUGAUGGCUUGCAGCGGGAAGUGGAGGCGCAUCGGCAGCAGCAAACAGACAAAGCGUUGCUGGUCGCGCAAGAGGCGCGGACGGAGGCGGAGCAAAAGCUAGCUGAGGUACAGAAGCAGUUCGAGCAGCUCAAAAGCAUGAACAACCAGCUACGGAGACGAGUAUCGGAUUUGGCUACGGGGCAUGCAGAGCCGAUUCCUGAGCCAGUGCAGGUAAUAACCGGGAGCAUGCAGGGGUCGUCGGCUGGAGGGCAAUAAACUAUGUAGCCGCUGGCCUUGGCGACUAAUAUACGUUGCAUGGCAUGUGAUGGCGACAGGCGACGACAAAGGAGGAGGAGCGGGCACGGUCAGCCCUGGUAAAAAUCAGGGAUGUCAACCCCGGCUCAAAGAUCAGCAUCGCCUUCUGGGUUUCCUCGGACUUCAGGUGAGAAAUUGGCACAAACUAGUCAGCUCAUGGCGCGGGGGCCGCAGCGCGGAGUUCGGACGACGUGUCGUCGGUGUUCGGGCUGGAGUACCAACGCCCCCGUCGAUACACCACUCAAGCGGCGCUUUUCACGCAGCAGCAGUUGGAGCGCGCUGUCUUGUUGGCACAUGGCCUCACGUUUGAUGGCGCGGCGGCCUCGGGUUUGCGGGCAGCUCCGACUGGCCGUGUCUGACAGUUGCCUACCUGCCUGCCGCUCUGUCUCGUCUCAUUAUGUUCUCCCUCUCAGGCGCUGGCAGGGCGUCCGCUUCUCAAACGGCGACGCGACGGGGCUUGCACUAAACAACAUGAACCUGUCCAUGCUGCCGGCGGAGAUCGGGCAGCUCUCGAACCUCACGGCCAUGUGAGACGGCGGCUGCGUAUGUGUGCUUGGCGGGAGAGAGGGGCUUGGCGGGAGAGAGGGGCGGUGGUGAAGAGGGGGCGGUUAAUUUUGCAACUCCCAGCGCGUGAGCAGCAGGAGGCGCCUGGGCGCAGCCCCUGAUAAACUGGGGUAUGGCGUAACCUACAGUUUUACUCCAAUGGCAUCCAAGCCUACAGGGAGCUUCGCCAAAUCACAGCGCACCGGCCGCAACCGUGCACCUACUGACGUACGGCUACAUGGCGCUCCCGCACUGCCUCUGCUGCUGCACCGCACAGGCUGCUGAGCAACAACGCGCUGACGGAGCUGCCGCCCGCCAUCGGGAGGCUGACCAACCUCACCUCGCUGUGAGUCAGGGGCCAGCCCUGGUGGCAGCCCUGGUGGCAGCCGUACUGGUGUCCAGGGGGACGAGGCGUGGGGAAGAGGGGGCUUGAGGUGAACUGUGAAAGCUGGGGCGCGUUGCGCAGCCCCUCUUACCGCUCCGUCCCUGCCUUCGUCCUGCUUUUCCUCUCACCCUGUUGACUCCGGCUCCCGCUCUGCCUCUGUCCGCGUUCCCCGCUCCCCGCAGCAUGGUGGACGGCAACCACCUGCAGCAGCUGCCAGCGGAGCUGUGCGACCUCACGCAGCUGCAGAUGCUGUGAGUGUGGGGAGGUUGGGGUGGGACUUAAGCGAGGCAGGGCGGCGCGGGGCGGGGGAGGGCAGGAGGGGGCAAGCAGGGGGGAGGGGGCAGCCGUCGAUGCAAGGGAGUAGAUUGCAAACAUGGCGUGCGGGCGUCCGGCUGGGCAGUGUUGCAAGGGGCGGGGGGACAGUGUGGAUCAUCGUGCUUGGGGCUGCGCAGGUGGUGAUGCGGUGGCGGGCCGGGCGCGACCUGUGCCCGCGCCUGCAGGGGCCGGUCGGUUGGGUGGGGUGGGGCAGACUGGCGGAUGUGUGCAGCGUGAGCUGGCGCGGUGGGUGGCGGGGAGCGAUGGCACCUCGGGGACUGCCAGGGCAGCUGGCACGAGGGGGCGGGGCGGGGUGCUUGCAACCUCCAGAACCUCCGGUGGGGAGGCACGGCAGGGGUGGGGUGGGGUGGGGUGGGGUCGGCAGCAGGCAGGGCCCCGGCGCGCCGCCCGGCAGGGCAGGCCCUGCCGGCCUGCACACACGCAUACGCACUCAACGCGCAAACCAUGCCCAUUCGCGCAACAUCAAGAGUUGCAUGACGCCAUACCGCAUCAGUGCAUUACCUCUCAAGCCUCUCUCCCCCCUCCCCACCUCCCCCACCCUGCUCGCAGCUGGGUGCACGACAACCAGCUGGCGGCCCUGCCACACGGCCUGGGCCGCCUGGGCAGUCUGCGCCAGCUGUGAGUGUGUGUGUGCAGGCGUGUGUGUGUGUGUGCAGGCAUGUGUGUUGGCGUGUGUGUGUGGGCGCGUGUGCGAGUGCCUGUGCUUGUGUGUGUCUGAGAGGUCACGGAAACACGCAGGACAGUGUGUGUUGGGCGGGGCGAAUGUGCCGUGGCGCAGCAACUGGGGGAAGGUGGGCCUGACGUGUCAGACGGACAUAAGGGGAUGGGCGGGUGGGCGGAGGGCCUUGUGGCGUGUGCCUGCUGUCGUCACUGCCACAAACCGGGAGCAGGAGGGAGAGAAGGAUGCAGGGCCGGGGCCGGGGCUGCAGCCGGACUUGGAGCUGGGGCUGAGCCAGACCACCCUUCAAAUGAUGAUUCGGCAUAACGCGUCACUGCCGCUGCCACCGCCCUGCCCUUCGCCGCUCGAUUCGUGCUGCCUCUCAUCUGUGCUUCCUUCCCCACACCCGCACAUACACCCGCACACGCAGCAUCGCCAACGACAACCUGCUGGAGCGCCUGCCGCCCAGUAUUGGCGAGCUGCGCAGCCUCACCUCGCUGUGAGUGGCGGCAUGCCGGGCUGUGAGGUGCUGUGGUGCCGCUGGCGCGGGGUGGUGUGGGGCGCGGCGGGGUGUGCUGCUGGGCAGGGGCGGCGGUUGUGCCUGUCGGCCUCAUGGGACCUGUACUCGCGCUGGUGGGAUUCAUGGCACUGCCGGUUGCCCACAUCAAACACACACACAUGACAACUUGCAUAUGUCCGUGUCAUGGACGCGCCACGCACACAGAGACACGCAAACACGCCCCGUAAACGUACUAUGCGUGUUCCUGUUUCACUUGUGCUCUCGUCCCGCCAUCCACCCACACACGCACACGCACAUAACUCUCACCUCGCAGGUGGCUGGACAACAACCGGCUGACGGGGCUGCCCGACUCCUUCAGCGGCCUGUCCGGCCUCAAGUGCCUGUGAGUGGGCUGGGGGAGGGGCGCGUGUGCGUGUGUGGGGUGUGUGCGUGCUGUCUGGGCGGGUUGCAUGGGUAGAGAGGAAGGCGCCCCAAUGAGCGUCAGGGCACAUGAAACCGGAGAGGCGGGCCGGAGCUCUCCGCGUGCGUGCCACCCGUGCCAAACCGGGCACGCAGCUUACCUUCUGUGAUCACACCGUGUGAUAUCAAAACACACAUUAUGCAAGUGGAGCUGUCCGCUCCCUGUUUGCACCCCAUGUGUGGGCGUGGGCCUAGCUCACCCCUCCCCUCUCCUGUCAUCUCGUACGCACGCGCGCACACACACACACACACACACACACACACACACACACACACACACACACACACACACACACACACACACACAGUCAUUGGGCGGGCUUUCGUUUCGUUUUUUAACACACACACACACACACACGCACACGCACAGGCGGCUGGACCCCCCGCUGCUGCCUCACCUGCCGGAGCCGCUGCGCGCAGCCAACGGCGCACACGCAGCCCACAGCGCCCAGCCCCACACGGCCCAGCCGGCCCCGUCCGCGCACUCGGGCCCCACCUUGGCCUCGGCGGCCGCAGCGGUAUCGCCCUCGCAGCCGCACGCCGCGGGCAUGGCGGCGGCAGCAGGGGCAGGGGCUUGCGGGUCAGGGGCAGCGCACGGUCAUACACAGGCGCAGGCGGGUGGGGGCGGCACCGCAACAGCAUCAGGGGCGGCGCCGGGGCCGGGGCGCUCCCCGGGGGCUGAGGCGCCGUCCAGACUGGGGCCCGCGGCAGCUCUGCGCGGGGCACCGGGUGCGGAGGAGGAGGAGGGGGGGCCGGCGCCCGCGGCAGCGGCAGGACGGCAGGCAGCGACGGCGGCGGAGGCUGGCAGCAGUUGCGGCAACGGCUCGCCGGGGUCACGGCUGAAGGACCAGCAGCAGCAGCAGCAGCAGGCGAACCGUUGUAGUGGGGCCUGCGGCGGCGCCGGCAUGGGGCCUGCAGCGGCGCCGGCGCUGGCGGCUGAGGGGCCGGGCGGUGCGGGCAGCCCGGCGGCGGCGGCGGCCGUUGCCGCUGGUGCUGGUGCUGCCGCGGGUGGCGCGCUCGCAGCUGACGUCCAGGCCGGACUGGCGCCAGCCACGUAGCACGUCGCGGCGGGCAGCGGCGCCUGGCUGCAUGCGGCUGCGGGCUGGUGGCGCAUACGGCUUCUUGUUAUGUCACUUCCGUCAGGAUAGUGGGUGUCUUCGGAAUACGGUGGCCCUGCUUCAUUAUUACCACUCAUCCGGUUGGCUUGCAUUGUUGAGUACUGCAGGCGGGGCCGAGCGCGCCUGCGCCCCGCAGACUACUGAUGUGUUCUAGGUGUGGGUGGGUGAGCAUAGGCACGGUGUGGGUGGGUGGAUGGAUGGGUGGGUGGGUUGGGUGUGGGUGUGUUAGCGUGUUCGGGGGUUUGAUUGGCUUGGUUCGUGUCAGUGCGGCUUCGACGGCCCCGCCAGCUUUGCGCGGGGGGGCGGAGCACUGCCCGCCGCGCAGUGCAGCGCACAGUAAUGCGGCAUAUCCAAGGGGCUUGACGGAGGGGCUUGUUGAUGCUUUGGGGGGUCUACAUAUGGGCCUUCGCAAGGGGAGGGGGGCUUGGGAAGGCAUGCGGGGAAAGGCGGAGGCGGAACGAACAUAGGAGCUGCAAGGAUAUUCGCGCGCCCGCCAACCCACUCAUAAUAUGGACAAUGUCUUGGAGCGUGUGCUCAUCAAAAUCUUAUGGUGUUGUCAGUAAGAAAUAUGUUGCAUUAGAGGAAAUGUGCAAAAGCGUGUUGGCGAGUUCUGUGUGUGUGUGUUAAAAAUGAAAACAAAAGGCCCGCCUGUGUGUGUGAGUGUGUGCCACGAUGUGCGUGUGGAGUGCUUGUCAAUGACGAGGUCUGCCGUGCCUGAGGGGGUGUCGAGCAGUAGCUGUGCGUGUAUGGGGGGGGGGCUGUGUGUGCAUGUUGUGUCAAAAGCGGCGCAUGUUGGCAAGCCAAGUAAAACAGAAACAGGCAAUAAUAACAAGAUGGCUGCCGGUGGAGUCGCUGUGCCUGCAAAUUGCCCUGGCGCUCGGGCGCGGGGUGCAGUGCCCUUGAAGGCUACGGCGCUUGGAAUGCUGUGGGGUUGUUCUGGCGUGUGCGGGCUCGGGGGUGUGACGGCGAGCGACGGGAGGCGUGCAACAACAUUGGCGUGCAACUGCAACAGGGAGGGGGGCUGUAGAUACCAGCCCAAACUACACCGGAUCCUGUGCAUGGGCGCGUGGCCCAGUGGUGUCGGGGUAGGGGCGGCGCCACUGCGGCAGCUGGUGUGUUGGGGCGGUGGCUGUGGGCUCGCUGGGUGCAGGUGUGGCUGCGCGCGGUGGCCUGCCGGUGUGGCCCUGCACCACGUGUGGCCGGAGGUGUGGGGGCGCUGGCAGCGGCAGGAGCGGCAAGUGGAGGGCACGGGCAAGGCGCAGCGCCCGUGUGCAACUGCGCCCAGUGCUGCCCAGCGGUUCCUGCUUUGCUCGACGCGUUGAGAGCGGCCUCGGCUUCUGCGGCCCACACAGCCAUGCCUCCCUGCAUGCGACCCUCCCCUUCCCCAGUGGGGCAUCCUCCGGCUGUCCAGUUGUCAUACGGUUUAGCCCUGUUUCUAGCUGCAUGAAGCGCCUCGUGCCUCGGGGCUCUAAGUAUGUUCUGUCUCCAACAUUUGCCUAACCGUGCUGGAGUUGGCGCCUGGUAGUGUGCUGCUUGUGUGGUCCCCCCCCCUCGGCUAGGCGUGGCUGGGGGGCUGGGCGCGGAGGGCGGCGGCUGGAAGCAGCGGGGCAGGUCGCUGCUGCUGGUCGCGAUGAUGCCGUGUUUCAAGGAUACAUUUGAAAGUGUCGGUGACACUCCUUCAUUCCGUGACCCUCACCAACCGAGCCGCACGUAGCCCUCCCUCAUCAACUUGUCACACGACUACCGUCACUUGACAAGAGCUGCGGCUCUGAACCACACGUCGUAAGCCAGCCACUCCGCCAGCUACCUGCCACGUGCGCCACAGCAUACGGCACCGUACUGGCACGCGUGCCGGAGCCUCCGGAGAGCCCCCCACCCCGGAACGCUUAAAAGUAGGCAUUUUUGGGCAUCCCUGGAUGCCGUGGGCGAGCACCAGAGAAGGUGGUUAGGGCCCUUAUCGCCAGCGGCGGCGGCCUGCCCCAGGCAGAUGCAAGCCCAUUAGCUUGACUUCCACCGUGUCAAGCCGCUCCACCUGGGCCUCUGCAGACUGCUGCAUGCUACCUCCCUGCCACUGCCACUGCCACUGCCACUGCCACUGCCACUGCCACUGCCACUGCCACUGCCACUGCCACUGCCACUGCCACUGCCACUGCCACUGCCACUGCGACUGCCACUGCCCCGCUGCUACAGCUGCUACAGCUGCCUAGAUAGGCUGCCGCUGCCGCCGCUGCUGCUGCAGGUGCUGCCGCUCCAACCAGUCCAGGGAGGCGGAGGUGGUCUCGCUGCACAGCUCGUGCACGGCGAACAGCAGGUUGAGCUCCUCAGCCAGGGGGCUGGACUGAGGGGGGGGGGCCAUUCAGGGGGGCGGGGGAAGGAGAUGUAUGGGGGCGGAAACUAGGGAAUAGGGGUCAUGAAUGGGGUUGCAAAGAUGGUUGGAAAACAGGUACAGGAUGCCCUGGAGACUGCAGACGAAGUCGUUACCAGGAGAGGUAUCAGCCAAAAUGGGGGGGCGGGGGGUGAGGGGGAAGGGGGAACGGAAAAGUGCGAGUUCGUGUGUGCAGCGGGCAUAGAUGAAGAUGGCAAUCAAGGUUUGCAUCAGCCCGAUUCAACAACAACACCAUCGGCCCCUGAAAGCCUCCUCCUCCUCCUCCGGGCGUUCAAGCAUGCGGUCUGGCUCUCACAGCUCAUUGGUAGGUCUCGCCGUAAUGACGCCCCUGCCGGCCUGCCCCACGGCUUCCACCCACCCAUCCACCCACCCACCUCGGGCCUCAGCCGCAGCCGCUCUGCCCCCGGCACGCCCCCACCGCCGCCUCCGCCGCCCCCUGCCCCCGCCGCCCCACUCAGCAGCAGCUGGCGCCAGCUGGGCAGCGCGCGGGGGCUGUGCCGCAGAUAGCCGCGGCCGUCGAUGUAGCCCGAGGCCCUGCGCGUGCGCGCGUGUGCGUGUGUGUGAUCGGGGGUUGCGGCGGGCGAGGGGGUUUACGAGAACCAAACCCCAACUGCGGGGAAGGCGGAAGACUGGCGCGUGUGGCUCCUGCAUUUCUAGCCCCCAGAGCUCAGGCUCCAGGCCCCCUGUGCCCCCCUGCGCCUCUGCCGGUGCUCCGCUAGUUUGGCUCGGUUUGGUUUAGUUUGGGCUGGUAUGUACAACCCCCCUUUGCGCUUCCAACGUGAGUUCCUUGCUUUUGUAUUUGCUUUGCCAUGGAUGGUGGAAACCCCCCAGCCCCCCAGCCCUGGGUAUCACCCCCCACGCACCGGAAGGCGGCGUACACGGCCCGACUGGUGGCCUCGUCCAUCUCCGGGGCACAGCGCUGGGAGGGAGGGGCGCGGGAGCGUGCGUGCGUGCGUGCGUGCGUGCAUGUGUCAGGGGUGGGUGAAGGGGUUGUACGCACGCACCAACAAACGACCGCACACACGGACUCGUUCGGGUUCCCCCACACAGCGCCCCCCCCAGCUCCCCAUUCCCCCCAUACACACCUGCGCCAGGUACAGGGGCGUCAGCGGCUGCGGCUGCACCCGUAUCUCAUGCACCGCCACCCCCUGUGUGACAGAGUGUGUGACAGCGUGUGUGUGCGUGUGUGUGUGUGUGUGGGGGGCGCAUGUCAGUCUGCUGUACGUAGUGCUUCUGCAUCAUGAGCGGCGAGAGCAACAUGGGCGCCGUACCAAACAGCGCCACGGGGGGGGGGUUGUAAAUACCAGCCCAAACUAAACCAAAGCCAACGAAAACGGGAGUGCAGGCAGAGGCUGGUCGCACGCACCCCCGUGUCCCUGUGACACGUGACACGUGGCCUCCUCCCACCCCCCGACUGCUGCGUCCCCUCUCCCCGCCUCUUCCCCGCUUGUCUGCAUGCUUCCACUCCCCUCCCCACAAACACUGUUGUUUGUGAUCACACACAUAUAUAUACACACACCCUUAUGUGUGCCUUGUGCUCUUUACCACACACCCUACACACACACACACAACCGGGCUUCGUUUUGUUUAAUUUUUAACAACACAUCCCGCACACACCGCCCCACCUGUCCCCUCAGCUCCGCCACAUUGGCCGCCACCGCCCCCGCCAGCCAGACGUCGCGGGGCAUGUGUACGAACAACGUGGGAGGCCAGGAGGAGGAGGAGGAGGAGGAGGAGGAGGAGGAGGAGGGGGUGGCCGCGGGCUUGGACUGAUGCAUGAGUUGCCUGUUGAGGGGCAGUUAGAGAGAGAGAUUGAGUAGUGGUCUGGAAGACAGUGUGCGUGUGCGACUUUAAUUUCGCAGUUGGGAAGAGAGGCUGUGCAUGUGCAUAUGCAUGUGCGUGUGCGUGUGGUGGAGAAGCUGUCGCGCCAUUCUGCCGGCAUGGCAUUUCGCCGGCAGCAGGGGCUAACCGUGCCAUGGUUGUGGGGGUUAGUUCGUGCCGUGCAGCGAGAUGAGGCUGUCGCCCGGCUAUAAGGGCGCAGCGCCGGCCUGUACCGGCGCUGCUUUCUCGUUACUCCCAACUGUGCAUAGGUUUACUCUUAUGUGCACCAACAACGGAUCGACGUCUGUAACGAACUCUGGUGGACAGCGCACUGGGUUCCGGAAGUCAUCUGUUGGGGCGUCUUCGGGUUGCAGCCAAGUCUAGGCGCGCAGGCGCAUAGCAACGUCACUCUAGCCCAAGCAACCACGUAUCACCGUCAGCUGAGCUGCCAAACGGACGAGUUAGGCGAGGAGACAGCCGCCGGCUUCGCAAGUCUCGGAUACCGGUUCUCGAGCACGCUGCUCGGGCAGCCUGCGGAGGCGCCGGUCGGCCUAUCCUGCAGCCACCAAGUAACGAGAAAGCAGCCGGCAACUACAGCUGUGGUGACGGCGACGUGGGAGCUCGCGGCGAGCCGACAACAUCACCGACGCUCGGGGACGCCUCCAUUAGUCCUGCUUAGCUGCAUUAUGGAAACUUUGCCAUGUAUUGACACUCUUGGCUGCAGAAGAGUUGUCUUUCCGUGUUUGGUAGCACUGGCCACUGUGGGCAACGGGCCUAGAGAGUUCUCUAAACAGUAGAAGAAUUCCAACAGUGAGGAUCCUGGCCAUUCAUGGAGAGCGGCUUUAUGGAGUUAUUGAGCCGCGUUGAGGGUGGUGAAUGGACAUGGACAUGCUCGGCGGACUGUGCGAGACUGCUUGCGAGUGGUCCUUGUAUGUUGUCAUUGUGACAUGUCCACGGUGGUUCUGGAUGCGCGUCUGACAUCGCCGGGGACGUAAGCUGGGGGGACCGCGUGCCCGCGGUUUUGUGUGCCCCGCAGCCGGUGGCCGGAGACAAGCGUCACAUUCAGGCGUGCCCUUGAGACGAGCUGCACAUAGAAGCUACUCACCUGGAUGCUGAUGAGCUGUGUGGGGCUUUCGGGCGCGUUUGAGCCCCUUUCGCUAUGGACUUGUGGACAGGCGGUCACACAUGGUGACAGCCUCGGGACUGCAAGUAUUCGUCCUCUCUGCUGUGGGGGGAAGUGGUGUGACCGGUGGCGGCGCCGUGCAAAGCCGGCAGAAUGACACGACAGCUGUCGCGCCAUUCUGCCGGCAUGGCAUUUCGCCGGCAGCAGGGGCUAACCGUGCCAUGGUUGUGGGGGUUAGUUCGUGCCGUGCAGCGAGAUGAGGCUGUCGCCCGGCUAUAAGGGCGCAGCGCCGGCCUGUACCGGCGCUGCUUUCUCGUUACUCCCAACUGUGCAUAGGUUUACUCUUAUGUGCACCAACAACGGAUCGACGUCUGUAACGAACUCUGGUGGACAGCGCACUGGGUUCCGGAAGUCAUCUGUUGGGGCGUCUUCGGGUUGCAGCCAAGUCUAGGCGCGCAGGCGCAUAGCAACGUCACUCUAGCCCAAGCAACCACGUAUCACCGUCAGCUGAGCUGCCAAACGGACGAGUUAGGCGAGGAGACAGCCGCCGGCUUCGCAAGUCUCGGAUACCGGUUCUCGAGCGCGCUGCUCGGGCAGCCUGCGGAGGCGCCGGUCGGCCUAUCCUGCAGCCACCAAGUAAGUAGUCCGGUGGCGGCGCCGUGCAAAGCCGGCAGAAUGACACGACAAAGCACAAGGGGAAUGUGCACAUCUGCAACACCCCGCCCCCCCCCCAGCCCCUACCUCUUCCCCGAUAGACAGAGCACACACCCCACCUUCCCUCACCUCCCCCACCUCCAACACGUCCCUUACACACUCACACACUCACACGCGCACACUCCUCCACCUCACCCUCCCUCCCCAUUGUUCUUCACACUUUCCGCGUGCCAUAGCGCUUCUGGUCUAAGCCUUGUCCGUUCCCCAUAAACGGCUAACUCCUCACUUCC
rnacentral:lncRNA from 1 species